CAUAUACUCAAAUCCAAAUAAUGUCCAAAAUGGGCUCCUAUCAACAAUUCUGCACAGUUGCUUUACGAAUUACUCCCUCCAUUCGAAAUUGAUCUACAUAUAAUUUUUUUGAGGUUAUUCCUAAAUGAUCUACAUAUUUGUGUUCAUUUAUUAAGUCUAUUCGUUAUUUGUGCAUUGGAGUAAAUGGACAUUGAUGCAUGAAUCCAUGCACACAAGUAUUUAUAACCCACAUGCAAUAUCUUGAUUUGCUAUUGGCUAGGAAAUAGUGGGGAUGGUGCAUGCAUUGAGUUUGUUGCUAGAGUAAAUAUAGUAUGAGAGAGUUAUUAGCUUUUCUUGGUCUUGGUGUACCUAUGAAAUAUGUAGAUCAAUUUGGAAUGGAGGGAGUAAAACACUAUGUCAUAUUGUUCACCUGUGUUACACCAGAUAUUUAAUGCCAGCAUAGAAGUCACGCUUAUCCAAUAUGAAAAGAAACUGCAUGUUUCAUUCAUGCACGUUUCAUGUAUUCAAUUAUUAUCGCAUUGAUGAUAGAGAGUAAAGGGUAGACAUACUUGGUGAUAUUUCAUGAAAAGAAAAUUUACAAUAAAGCAAAAGGGAAACAGUGGAAGGUGAAAAACAACAACUUAUCUAGCCAAAAAGUUGCACAGAAAAGUAUACAGAUUAAGCAUAAAACAUCUUGGGUUUGUUGAGUACGAAUAGAAAAACAGAAAAUUUUACCUGCAUCAAUUUUUCACCCUUGUCACUUUCGAACUUGUCUGGGUUGAUUGCUGCAUAGAUCAUCAGCAAACGCAACUUGUUUUCACGACUUACACCCUGCAUUAAGUAGAGUAAACAAUGUCAUUAUUAAGUCAGUAAUAUCAAAACACAAUGUUGAAGAACAACCAAUGUCAUUCUAAAAAGUAAUUCAAAUAUUAAAUACCAAUUGUGUCCUCAAAAAAUUGAUUAAUUCUUUAGUUCCAGCAUCACCAAAUACAAGAUCUUGCUCUAGCUGUCCAACAUCUCGAAGACCUUGCUCCCUUAUUAUGCUAUUGAGUUUACCUGCAAUCUGUACAAAACUGAGUAAUACAAAUAGAAUGUCCAACUAUUUGAUUUAUGCUUCACAUAGUAAACAAAAAUAGAAUACUCAUGAUAUGUGAGGCAAUUAAUAAUUAAAAAAAAUAGCUCAAAAGCAAUUCAGUCAAUCACAGAAUAAACACAGCAGCUUAUUUAAAGUUUUUAAUAGCUUGGAGCAAGCAAAAAUAUAUAGGUACCAUCCUUCUGGCCAUGCCAUUGUGGCUCACAUUGCAAGCACCACAGAUAAUACUGCUGUGCCAGAACUGUUGCACCAGCAACAGUUGUUUGCACGCCAGCCACAGUCAACCCAUUGCAAUGGUAUGCCUGUGGAUGUGUCCCGCGAGAUAAUAUGGUAAAUAUGGUAACAGCUUGCGUUUAGUAACAGUCAUGCCAUCACAGUUGUUACUGUGUACUACAUCCUAAAUAAUGUGUUUCGCAAGGGGCCUCAUCUUUUCGCUUAUGCUCAUCAGCUAAAAUUUGAAUUUUCAACCUUAAAUUUGAAGCUGAUUUUGAGGUUUUUUCGUCGAAGUUUAUUUUUCAGCCUCUCGCUAAGAACACGUAUAUAAAAUUUUUAUUCACAAAUUACUUUUCGUUUGCAAAUAUGCCGUGAAACAAUGGCUCCGAAGAUGUUUUACAGCACAGAAAUAGUCGUGUUACAGAUUCAUAACAGCAUUGCAUUGCCUCUACACAUGGUAGAGGGGUGAGAAAACCUAGGGAAUCAGCACAUAGGAUGACCUAAGGUGGAUUGUGAAGAGUUUACUUUAACUGAGGUGGGUCCAUGGGAGGUGGGUUAGGGCACACUCGGGAGGGAGGUGGGGUGUAGUGCUUUUCUUUUCUUUUCUUUUUCUUUUUUGGGUGAUCAUAUUAAUAAUUUUAUUGUCUAAAACCAAUUUGAAAACCUUAUAAAACAAAUAGACACUUAAGGCAGGGAAAUUAAAAAAUACCAUAAAAAACUAUCUGAUGUAUGACCCUCUUUAUUUUGUUAUUUAAUCAUUUUGACUCAUGCAAAUAUCUACCUUCCAGUAAAUCUUUUAAACUUUUAGGAAGACAUCUCUAAUCUACACCCCUCCUAUAGAAUAACUAUUCUACACCCCCCACCCCCUCCCCUUCCCACUCAGCCCGCACCUCCCUUCCGUUCUCCCGCGCGCCCACACUUCCUCCACGCUCCACCCCCCCCCCCCCUUCCCCCUCUCGCUCCCUCCUCCCGACGGCCCCCUCCUCACCCUCCGGUUUUUCUCCUCCCUCCCUCCUCCCGGCGCCCCCCGCCCCUCUGCCUCCCUCCGAUUUUUUCUCCUCCCUCCUCCCGAAGCCUCCUCCUCCGCCUCCCUCUGUUUUUUUCUCCUCCCUCCUGGUUUUUCACUUAUGCGCCUCCCUCCUCCCGGCACCCCCUCCUCUCUCCUCCUCUGCCUCCCUCCGGUUUUUUCUCCUCCCUCCUGGUUUUUCACUUCUGCGCGCCCCCUCCUUUCUCUCCCUCCGGUUUUUCUCUUCUUUUCCCGAUCUCUCUAAUCUCCCUCUGGUUUUUUCCUCUCAAGAAAUCUCCUCCCUCCCUUCUAUGCAAAAAUGAAAAAUAAUAUUGUUGAGAACAAGAUUUGAACUCAUGACCUCAUAAUCCCUACGUUGUUGCCCUAACCAAUAGGACUUGUAAGAUUUUGUGAUUGAGUAAUACUUUCUAUUUGUUUUGUACCUUCUUUCAAAUCAAGAAUUAGGAACCCAACCCUAAUCAUUUUCAUUACCACAAUAGGGGUUGUAGUAAGAAAUCAACUAUGUUACUGCAAAAGUUAUUGAUCGUUACUAUGUUCCCGUAGUAACAUCAUUAUGGAAUUGUAGUAACAAGACAUGUUACUACGAAACUUAUAGGUUGUUAGUAGACUUUUUGCGGUAACAUCGGGAUAGAAUGGCAGUUACACUGAACAAUGUGGCAACAAUAUUUCUGUAGUACUGCUUUGUUUAGAGAAAAAAACUUUAAAAGUUUCAAUCUUUAGAGAGCAAUAUUACUCGCAUCAUAUCUUGUUUUUCUAAUCCGUUUGCACCAUGAUGUUCAUAAAAAAGUGCUUAACGAACCUAGAUCCAUCAUGACUAUAUUUUAACGUCGUUACUAUAGAAAGCAGCCAUGAUACUACACAUUGACCAUCACGUUACUACAAUGUUCCUGCGACACAAACCAAAAAGGGGUGGGUGUGGGGGGAGGUCUCUCAUGGGCCAACCCACCUCCCCCUCCCUAGGGCCCAAAACCCACCUCCCACUUCGGUCAAAGAACGGUCAAAGCCCCCUCCCACCGGUCAAACCCGCCUGCUACCUCCCCCCACGCCCACCUCUUUUCAAUUCUCGUCUCUCAAGAAUGGCGUAGUAACGCGAUGGUCAAUGUGUAGUAAGUUGAGUGCUUUCCGCAGUAACAAUGUCAAAAAAUAGUCAUGAUGGAUUGGUGCAAACAGAUUAGAAAAACUAGAUAUGAUGUGAGAGAUAUUGCUCUCUAAAAGAUUGAGAUUUACCUCUUUUCAGUUCUCGUCUCGCUGGAACGGCGUAGUAACACGCUUGUCAAAUGUGUGGUAACACGAUUGCUUUCCGCAAUAACGAUGUUAAAAGUUAGUCAUGAUGGAUGUAGUUUCGUUAAGCACUUUUUUACGAACGUCAUGAUGCAAACGGAUUAGAAAAACAAGAUAUGAUGUGAGAGAUAUUGCUCUCUAAAGAUGAGAUCUAAAAGGUUUUAGCUCUACAAAAGCACUAGUACUAUAGCUCCAUAGUUACUAUUACAUGUUCUCUGUUCCUGUAAUUUUCAUCAUGAUGUUACCGCCAAGAGUGCAGUAACCCAUAAAUUUUGCAGUAAAUUAUCAUGUUACUACCCUUCUAUGAUAAUGUUACUACCGAAUCAUAGUAACAAGGUAUGGUUCCUACAGUAACAUAACUGAUUUUGUUCACACAAUUUGAACAGACAUUCAACGCAAGCAAACAAUGAUCUCUAAUCACAUAGCUCAUAGGGUGAAUCGUUUAUGAGAGCUUGCCACGAACCAUGAGAUCAAAUUUAUUUUUAAUUUUUCUAGGUUAAGCCAGUUUCCUUGAGAGAAAAAAUCGGAUGAGGGAGGGAGGAGCGCUGAUACAGGAGAAGAGAAAAAAAAAGAGAAAAAUAAGGAGGCAGAGGAGGGCGAUAUGGGAGGAGAAAAAAAGAGAGAAAAAUAAGGAGGGAGAAGAGGGCGCCGAUAGAGGGGGAUGGAGGAGGGAGAUCAGGAGGGGGGAGCGAAAAAAGAGGAAGAGAGAGAAACGCACGGAGGGAGGAGGGAGGGCAGGGUGCACGAGUUCAAGGGAGGGAGCGCGGGGGUGGGGAAGAGGAGCGGGCUGGUAUGAAGAGGAGGGAGUGGGCCAGGAUAAGCGAGGGUGUAGAUUAGUGUGUGUGACAAUUGGUAUAUAUACCAGUUGUUUUAUUCAUGAACCAAGGUGUGGACAUCCUAAUCAGUGGAAAAUCCAAAAACCAGUCCAAAUUAUGAAAUAUGUAUGUUAAAGAAGGGCCACUUUCAUCAAUUUUUUGUGCUGCUAUUAGAAUGCAAAUUUUUAAAGAAGAUGAGGUGUUUAGAAAAAUUAAUAAAUUAUGUGCUUGAUUAAUCUGGAACCUUAAGAAUGCCUUAUUCUAAUCAAAUAUGCAUUGAAUAGCAUGUGCCCUUUUUUACUGGUGAAGAAAAAGUUGACAUUCCAUGGUUUGACACUAACAAAAUUAGAUGAAAUUUGCAAAGUAUAAGGCAGAGAUUUUAACUUCACCAUUUUGGAAUAACAUGAGCAGACAAACAAUUCUUGAGAAGGAAAAUAGUGAAAAAGUAGGGAAUUUUUUAAGCUAAACAAAGAAAAUAUAACCAACCUCAACAUGAAGAGAAAGCUUCUCAAUUUGAUCGCUGUACUGUGGAAGAGCUUGAACCAUUUUUUGCAAAUCUCUAUUGGAUAUCUCUCCCCCAGUUCUGGUAAUUUAAACAUGAAGCAAUGACCAUUAAAAUAAUAAGUCAAGAACAUUACAAACAAAAUGGACUCAUGCAACUCAACAUACAUGUCCAAAUAAAUAUAUAGAAAACUUUAUGAAUUUUUUUCUGGCAUUCACUUUCCUAAAGAAACCACUCAUCCAUUAACAUAUUUGUGUUUCAGGGUUAACUCAAAAAUUGUGCAGCUAUACACAGCUAUGCAGAUCAUGUUGUAUCUACAGUAGUUCUCCCUCCAUUCCCAAUUGAUAGCUGCAUCAGGUUUGUGCAGCGAUACCAAGGGAGAAAUAAAUCAAGCAGUAAUUAGCAGCGAUACUGGUUCGGUGGCCCACACAUGGCGCAUGACCAUUCAACUUUUGAUGGUAGAUUUAACUAAUCUUGAGAUAAUCACUCAGCAUGCAUGCAUGUGAUAAAAAAAGGAGGGGAUUUAACUAAUUUCCAGAAAAUCUCUUCACAUUAAAUCCACGCAUACAUGCACCAGAUAAACAAGGAAAUCCACUGGCUCCCAAUGUUGUGCGACAAUCAAACCAGAUUUUUUUUCGUUUCAGUAAUAUGAUGAUCAAUUAGGAAUGGAGGGAGCAUUUAAGAAACAGCACAGUCAACUCAGAAGGGUUGCGUUACAACUAACUUUUGUACAUAUAUAAAUCAGUAAUCAACCUAACACAUUUUGGACCUUUUAGUUUCAUUAGCUUACAGUGUGUACUGGUGUAAGAUUAUGAUUUCUCAAAAUGACAUACCCACCAAUUUUAUGAUAUUUUCUUCUAAGCUCCAUUGUGAUGCAUGAGUAUUUUGCUAAUUGUUUAUAACAACGAAUGGUCAAAAAUCACAACAGAGCAAUUUCCCUACUUGGUUGAAACAAUGCACAGACCUUGCUUGCUGCAGUUGAGCAGCUUUAUUCUUGGACACAAAAUUGCUCAUCUUGUCAUGCAGUCUUUCGCUUGCCUGAAAGUAUGAUGGUUAAUUAUAAAGCUAUCAAACACAUGAAUCGCAAAGAAAGGUACUGAGGAGUAAUCUCACAUCUGCUAUGUGGGCAUGCCGGAGCUCAACCCAUAUUGGAUCAUGAUCCUCCAAUAGGACAUCCUUCUUUUCAGUUGAUGAACCAUUUUUACUCGGAACCUUUUCUUUCAGUCACACAUAAGAAUGGAAUAACCAUCAAAUGAAACAACAGGGAAGAAUGUUACAUAAAAAUAUAUAAAAAAAGAAACUCUCUCACCUCAUGGACAUACUUGUUGCCAUCCAUACAUAGAAGAUCAUGGCACAUCGCGUCAUAUGUCCAUUCAUGAAUGAUUGGUGCAAUCUAUGGUGCCAAAGAAAUUAUGAAGCAGCAGCAUAUAUAGACCAUGCUCAAUGUAGCACUAGGAUAGAUGUCAAAACUGCGUAUACAGGUAUGUUUACAAUGUACCUGGUCUACUGAACGAUCAACUAUAAGUAGCUCACAUGUCUCAGUUUGAGGAUAAUCCGGUAUUGAUGUUUUCAAUUUUGAAAGGCAAUUCCAAACAGCAGCAGCAAGUUUUGUAGGCACUAAAUCUCGUAGUGUUGUCGUUACAGAAGCAUCAAUUGUCUUGGCGACACGGUAGUGCACUCUAGGGAAUUCCUGUAAUUUGUUGAACAAUACAUAAAAAAAGUGAAUUGUUACCUAAUAGUUACUCUAGAACGACAUGUGCACAUCAAGCACCAAAAGUUAUUCAUUGUAUGUCCAUGGAAAGUAAAUGUAUUAUGUAUACAGAAAUAACCCAAUAUGUGGAGCAGAACAUCAGUUGAGCAUCAAAAUCUUUUGGUAUUGCCCACCUUCUUUUCCAGUACUCACUAGGGAUACAAACAGGUCAGGUCAAGGGCCAACCAAAUUGAGGCAUUGACCUUUGCUAGUUCUUUUUCUUCAGAAACAGCUCAAGGGCAUCUAUGGGGGCACAUUUAGGACUAUCGUACUGCAUACUAAGGUAAAAAAAACCCAAUUAAGUGGUAAGUGAGCCAUCAAUAAGUAUGGGCUAAUGGGCCAGACCACUGGCAUCCCUAAUUUUUUCACUUGCAACUGCAUCAUUUAUCAUCUGAAAAAAAUGCUGUCUGAUUAUACCAGGAGUUCACUUCCUACAGAGAUAGUUCCUUUUUGUCAUACAAAUCACCUACUUUAGUGUUGAUGAAUGUAGGCCAGGUCAGGUCAAGAUGAUGACCUACCGGAACUGCAUAGCAUAGUGCCAACUGUCAACUGUCAACCACAGUGCAUCUCCGACAUUGGAUCUGCAGGCAAUUUAUAUAACAAUCUAGGAGGGAUGUGUUGAGCUCUGCCUCUGCAUUCUUAUUGCAGUCUUUGCUCCUCACGCUCUCCUCUUCUUCAUUGUCCCACAUAAUAAUUAAAUAUUCCCUCCAUCCCAAAAUAUAGGAAAGUAGCUAUAUUUUGGGACAGAGGGAGUACAUAGAACCACCUUUUUUUUUGGGGGGGGGGGGGGGAGGGGGGGGUUUACUUCUUGUGACAUGGAUACUACUGGUUUAUUGUUUUGACAAGAAUUAUGUGUGCUUGUGUAAUAAAAUAGUAAGUACCCACAAACCAAAUGCUUAUUGUUUUAGGCCACUAAAUAGGCUGAGAUUACACCAUGACUAUGAACAAAAGGAAGUUAGCAGAAAUUACAUAACAGAGGUUUCAGGUGCUGGCUGAAGAGUCCAGGAUGUGGGUAUAGCGGACAGCAUAUGAGAAGUGGGAUCAAACCAACAGGGGGAAACACAGGAGGAAUUCAAGAGAUCUUCGCUCCCUGUGAUAUGGGCCUUACAGAUAGAGGGUCUAGAGGCCGUAUUAUGUAUUAUAGUUAAGAAGGUUAUUAGUUAGCUAGGAAGUUGGACAUAGUUUGUUAGGAAGGGUCAGGGUAUUUCCAAUGCAAUAAUAAAACUAACAAUCUUGUUUCUGUAAGCUGCCACAUCAUUGUUUUUGCUUAGGAGAGGGAGAGGAGAUAGAAACAAGAAACAAUUAGAUAGAAAUGAACAUUACUGAGAAGUCGUAUCUAUCGUCAAUUAGGAAUUCCAUGCAGCAAUUAAUGCUUGUGGGGCCUUGUGAACAUACCAUGCAUUCUAAGGGCUAUUACUACUGUUGUUUACAUAUGUCAUUUCUGUAUUUGGAAUGUCCUUAAGUUAAUCCUAUCGAUAAAAGGACACCACAUACCCCAUUAUGAAACAAGCAAUCAAUCUAUAUGGUUAGUCCAGUAAGCCUAAGAGUCACUAUCACAACAAGUGAAGCCCUGCCAGCACUAGUAGAGGGAAAGGCCUUAUCCCAUCAGUCUUUGGACCAGUUUCACAUUUCGUGGGACAAACCAAAGGGCAAUCCUGCCCCACAUAUAUCCCUAACUUCAUGCGAUCAUCAUAAAGCACUUUGUUUAGAACUUUAGAUCUAAAGCACCCUAUUUUUCAGACCUAAAACACUUUGGUUUGCAUUAAAUCAGGAUAUAUUAACAGGAAACACAAAAAAAAUGUGCAACAGCAUCUUUCACAAAUAAGAAAUGUAUUCAUACCCUCAUUGAUGCAAACACUGUAGAUAUGCGAGUAGCCAUUGUGUUCAAACAAGCAUUGUACUUGUGUGAAUCCAAAGCAUUUUCACUAAAAAGCUCCUCCAAUGCUCUUUCAUGGUCAGUGGUGAAACCCUGCAUGCAAUCACUAGCAAUAUAACGUACCAGAGAAAAGGGAUUACCAUGUAAUGGUUGGUACUUUGACUAGCAUCUAUGUCCUCUCUAUAAGAUAAUAAAUAUGGUAUCAUCAUUCAAGUAGCACGAUAAAAUUUACCGUUUACACUAACUUGUAACAGUAUUAGAUAUAAUUAGAAAAUAGGUUACCAGUUGACAGGCAAAAUUUCUAAAGUUGGUUAUUUAUCAUUGCAACUACCAGCAACCAACCAAAAUGACCAGAAUCAAAUCUUAGAGAAUUUCCAAUAAUCCUAGCUGUGUAUCAUGGAAGUAUUGAAAUUUACAUUAAAGGCAAUUCAAACCAUUCUUGUCACUGCCAAUGAUUGGGUUUUUCCCACGUUGCUCAUAUCAUUCGCUCAUAAGGCGUAUCUAUUGGGUCCCUUUUUCUCCUGACCAAGCCAGCUGGCUUCUUUCAAACAAAAAAGGAUCCAGCUGAUUUGCAGAAAUAGGAAAUGAACUCCUAAAAUCAUGCACUUGUUUAGGGAGGUCCACGAUUUAAGAUAGCCUAUUGUAAAUGUGCUUCCAAGAAAUUCAGAAAUAUGCUUUAAAAUUUAAUAUGUACAGUUAGGGCUUAUGUAAAAGUCAAACAGCAAAAAAAAAUUAAUAUAUGUUCUGUAUAGAAAUUAUUUUUGAGAAAUUUUUUUGGUGGCAGUUCAAAACCAGCUUAACAGAGCUGGCAAAAUGACUAAACCAGAGGCAAAAGGACCCUAGAUGUGGGAUCCACAAGCAAGAAUGAUCGAAUAUAAGCAAAGUGGCAAAAUCAGUUCAGAUAUCUUUGGAGUGAAAUCAAUGCCAUUACAUUCUUGGGAGUGGCAUUUUUUCAAAAUGGCAAAUUUCAAGUGGUAUGAACCCGAAAAGCCCAAAAUGGGAACAAAAACUCAGAAAAAUAUUUAGUUAUCAUGGAUCUGUUUACAGUAUAACAUUGUUUUCAAGUUCUUUAAACCGAAAAAUAUAUUAGGUCAAAAGGAAAAUGACGAUGUGUUUGUGAGCUAUCCUAUAUUAUUAACCAAAUAACACCAAAUGCUUCUCCUUUUUUAAUUGCAUGAGAACUUCUCAAGUUGUAGAGCAAAGUAUCAGGGCUCAAUUGCUCAAAUACUCAAUCCUAUGCGUAAAUCAUGGAUGAACAAAACAAUUCCUAUAAAAAAUUGCAUGAAAUUAUUUAUGCUUCAAGAAUAUAUGUAACAGAUACAAACUAUAAAUGAAACACUGAAAUUUCCGCAAGAAAAAAAAACAGAUGUGCCAUGAUACCUGGGAAUCAAUAGCAAAGUACUCCAAAUUCAUCUGGAAUACAACGAAAAAUAAAAUGUGAAUAAAUAGUUAGCAUAACAGUCUUUUAUAUUUAAAACAUUCUGGAAUAAAAUAUAAGAGGAUAGCAUAAUCCAAGUAACCUCACUAAGUGCACCAAUACGGGGUAGUACACUUGAAUCUUUUUUUAUUUGAGUAACUAAUUCUUUCUGUAUGGGAGAACUGAAAAACACAUACGCCCUACAACAUGAUCAACAAUCUAUCAGUGAAAGAAACAGAAUAGAGAUUGUACAUAAGAGGAGAUUCAAGUGGCGGUUUAUGUUAAUUCAGACAUACUUCUUGUAUAACGGAUUUCUUCCGGACAUGUCAUUCAGGAACAUCCCAAUGCUGCAACAUGAUGAUUAAAAAUCAAACAAGUGUAAUGUGUGAAAAAGUUGGAAAACGAACUACAAGCACUACUGACAAGUAAAUAGAUUAUGGCUGUGUUCGGCAAUGGCAGUCAGGAACUAAUCCCUUGUGCAUGCAAAACGGAGUGAAUUAUUAGCGUAUGAUUAAUUAUGUAUUAGCUAAUUAUUUAAAAAAAAUGGAUUAAUUUGAUUUUUUUAAAGCAACUUUCCUAUAGAAAACUUUUGCAAAAAAAUGCAUUGUUUAGCAGUUUGAAAAGCGUGCGAAUAGAAAAAGAGAGAGAUGAGUUGGGAAAGAAGGUGGAAGAACACAGCUUAUAUGUGGAUGAUGAGUGCUGAUGAUGAGAGAUGAGCAGGGCUAAUAGCACUUAUGAGUGCUGAUAGUGACAGGAACUGAACUUCUUUCUAUAGGAAAGGAAAAACCUAGUUGAUCUCCACAAAUUGUAGUUAAUGUUAAUUCUCUUUUCUCUCAUGAAGCCAUACCACCUCAACUGUUUCUACCCUUUGGAUCAUUUAUCUAUGGUUCAAAUUAUCCAUCUUCUCUCAUGAAGUCACGCACAUGCAAAUCAUCUCAAUUAUUUAUAGCUUUUUUCCACCACAAUCACCUCAAAUUAUUUUUAGCAUUUGAUCGCUGAUGCAUUUAGGGAGAAGAAAUAUAUCAAUGCGAUGAUAGUAAAACAAAGUUGGCAGUCACCAAAUUGUGACUUAGGGAAAGGGAACUAAUAUGAGAGAUUAUAUCGAUGAUUAGGAGACUGAACCAAUACGAUACUCCCUCCCGUCCCAAAUAUAACAAUUUCUAGCAUUCAAGAUUUGUCCCAAAAUAUAACAACUUCUCCAACAUUCUCUACCCAACCAAUCACAACCCUCCACCUACCUCUACUUCUAAACCAAUCACAACCUUCCCCCAUUUUAUUCUACCUACCUUCCCCAUAUACCCGUGUCCAACCCUAAAACUGCUUAUAUUAUGGGAUGUAGUACAUUAUAUCGAUGAGAUGAUCGGUGCAAUUUUAUUUUGCACUUAAUGUUUUCUUAUUAUCAUACGAUGAUGCGACUUUCCCGCAGCAAUGUACGUAGUUUCAUCUAGUAGAAGAAACAGAUCUACAAAUUAAGAGAGUAACACAUCAUCUGAACCUUUAGUAAGCAAAGAAAAGGGAAAGUUAUACAUUAGCUACAAAUUGUUAUACAAUGAUAAGAAUGGUCAUUGUCAUGUAAAACAUAAAUGUGAUAAAACCUCACCCCACAAUAGAAUCCAAUGACUUUAAGGGCCUGUUUGGCCUUGGGCAUCAGGUGUGAGCUCUCUUAUUAGUCUUUGGGGCUGUUGUUGCUUUCUUCAGAGAAGCUAACUUCCUAAUAGAAUCCCAAAAAUUGAUCGGCUGGGUAAGCCCAAAGGCUAGCUUAUUUUGGAAUUACUGGGAAAAUCAGGGAUGAAGUGGUAGGGGAUAGAAGGAAGCAGCUUUUUGGCUUAUUUCUUUGAAAUAGCUUUAACCAUCUCCAAAAGCUAAGUGGUGAUAGCUCUAAUCUAGCUUCAAUUGGCAGCCAGUCGGGGCAGAAAAGGCCCUAGACAUGUUCAGUACAAACUAAUUAAGUGAUUACUUCCCUAACUUAUUGCAAUGUGCUUAACAACCCCUGUCUGGCAUUGCAUGGUAAAUUGAUCAAAUAUAAUCGUGCAAGCCCAUCAUCGUGCACACCCACAAGCAGAUCUUUUGUGUGAUUGCACUCCAUGAGCUCAUGCUACAAUCAUAUAAGUGUGUGCACAGAUAUCUGGAACUCCAAGAAUUUUUGGCAGAGGUAACUCCAAGAAUUUUCAAUUGCUAUGUUUACAUUUCAUAUUUCGAGUAAUUUCAGAAAGCCAUAUGUAUUACGGAUUGUGGCACAUGACCCCCAGGUUUAUGGUCUAAAGGUUAUAUAAAACCCCAUCUUUAUUUAAAUCUCAGCUAAUUUUCGUAUAUUUGAAACAAUACUGUUCAAAGUAAUAAGGAGUUACAUCUUAAUACAGAAAUCAUAUAGACACUUUAUGACAUGAAAACUUAAGUAAAUGUGUCCCCAACAUGUUUUAUAGAAAGUGAAAAUAGAGAGUGGCUGUGUGCCAUGUUCUUGAGUGCAUGCCUAUCUCUAUGCCUAAUAAGUGUCACCAUCUUGAUGAAUCCUUUGCUUCCUGGACCCCAACACAAUGUUCACCAAAUAAGUGAAAUUACUCAGACGCAUCAAGUUUAAAACAAGCUAUGGGAAUAUUUGGAUUUUGAACUACAACUUACUAUGAUUUAUCCCAAAAAUCAUGAGAAUUUUGUAGGUCCUACUUUUGAUUGAAGGACUUGGGUAGCGUUUGGGUCUUCUGGUAUUUCAAAACCUUCAGCAAUGGUAGAAAGGCAAAUGUAUACGAGAAGCAUCAGCAUCGACAUAGGCAUCAGAUCAAUACAUCUAACUAGCAUACCACUAACCCCCACGUUCCUGCAAGUUCAAUGGCAUAUAGCAGAAUGCCAAUUCUCCAACUAUUUUCAUAUUGGCACACAGCUGUUUUUUUCCCAAAAAGAAAAGGAUAUGAUCUAGUUUUACAGUAACACAUAAACGGAUUGCACAACAGAAUCAUUGCAAACAGAAGUUGUAUAGAUUUGCUUACUUUUCUUUAGUUGGUUGAAUGAAAUAUAUAGCAUCUAGUGAAGGCAACGGUUGUCUCCGUUUGUACAAAUCUUCAACCACUGCAAAAGAACUAGCAUAGGUGAGACUUUACAGACGAUGCAUCUACUGGAAGGCUUUAAAAUAUACAGUGAACAAAUAUUUCAACAAAUAACAAUUUAGGAAUUCGAAGGUUCCAGAGUGCGAAGCUAGAAAAAGGAUACAAAAUGGCAUGUAAAAAUCAGGAUAACCAUAUAAGCAUAAGGUGAUAUACACAGAAGCAUAUUUGAAUCAGUUGAAAGAGAUGAUACUGUAGAAACAAGACUUUGGUGGUGUCAGCUGAAACACAUAAGCAGGACCACAACUCAUGCACCAAGCAGCCUAAAGAAAAUACUCGGUCAUAAUAUUUGACGCAGUUGACUUACCAUGGAGCUUGACAAUUCGUCUUAUUCGUGGUCUUAUUCAAAAAAAAAAUCUGUAAUUACCAUUUAUUUAUUUUGAAGGUACUUAAAGCAUGACUUAGCAUUUUUAAUAAGACGAAUGGUCAAACUUCAUGGUCAAAGUCAAACAAACUGAUCAAAUAAUGUAUUUCCUUAUAAAUAAAACAAAAUCUGAGAAAGAACAAAAUGUGUGUCACUACUUACAUGAAACCCCUUCUUCUGUAAUAUCUGCCAUCUUACAUGAACAUGAUAUUAUCUUGACUGUAAGUUUAUCCAUAAUAAGAACCUAGAAGAAAUCAUAACAAUUUGUGUAAGAUGCUGCACAAAUUACAUAAGGGAAUUUGUUAGAGAAGGGCAUAAACAUAUUGUAGAAAUUUCGAUGUUUUCAUAAACAGAUAUAUCUAUAGACUCAAAACUUCUUCAAAUAAAUAUAGCCUCCUCACGAACAUAUCUAAAAUGAUCAUUAAAUGCAACAUGCGAACAAUCAUGUCAGCGUGUGAGCUCAGUGCCCGUGGGUGCCUAGACUGCCAUUUCAAAUAUGAUCACUAGAUGUUUUUCAUACUACAAAUUAAGCAAUAAGCAUCAUAUUCCAACAAGCUCCCAGUUAAUGGAAUUUCUAGUAAUCCCUUCAAAGUUUAUGUUUUCCUAGCAAAGUGAGUUGAACCAGCAAAUGCCUGUAAAUAAAUUUAGAAUGCUGCAUGUUAUAUUUCUGUAAGAGUAAGUUGCACCAUACAACAAGAUGUGAGGUGAGUGCAAGUAGGGAACUAGAGGAUUGCUCAUUUACACUAACAAACUUGUUUUGCUGGUACACAACAGGUCAAUUUUACCCUUGAUGGCAUUUUCUAUGCAUAUAUGCUGUAUGUGAUGUAUAUAGGAAGGAAACGAGAGAUACUUUAUAUGAGCUAAGUGGGAUACCUAAAGGUAGUCUGGUAGUGUCACAAUGGCCCAAAAUUUAUUUUAAUGCAACAAUGCGUGCAACACAAAUUGCUCGCCCAUGUAUAGGUACCUCUGUUUCCCUUUUUCUUUUUCUAUCUAUGUCUCUCAUUGGCUAGUAACAUCACCAGGCCACCAGGCAUUCUGAGACCUUUCCUAUAAAAUAAGAUCCUAGCCCUAAACGAAAUGGUGUUUAAAUUACACUCUAUUAAGCCAUCACAACCACAUCGGAGUAUAGGGAGUCAACGAGGAUGAAAAUUGUCCUCUUGGGCUGGUGGGUAUGAGCCAAACAAGAUUGCUGACACAAACGAGCAAAUCUCAAGUUCCACACUUGCACUCACCCUGCAAGUUGUUGUACAUAUGAUGCAAUGCAGACUAUAAAUCAAAAGAAAUGUCAUAUUUACAUGUUUUCCGACUUUAUCAUUAUUCAAUGUAUACAGCAGGGACCUCAAGUAGUUUUUUUUCCUUAAAAAGAUGCAUACGUGUUUUCCGACUUUAUCAUUAUUCAAUGUAUACAGCAGGGACCUCAAAAGAAACCAUGUCAAUCUGAAAGGUGCCCAGGAUUCCUUACCUUCCAUGUUGAUUUUGAAUGUUUCCUAGUUGACCUGAGCAUUUCAAAUAAUAAACCUGCAUGGUCACAGCAAAAAAAAAAAAGGUUAAAUGGAGGUGCUUUCUAUAUGAAAGCAGAUAAGCUUGUGCAAAAACAGACAAUAACAGUGCUCCUUGAAUGAAUAUGAAUAGAGAAUUGAAAUGUGUGGUUUGGUUGGAAGUGUGAUGAAGCAGAAAUAUACAACAUGAAACUUGCCAUGCAGAGAAUUACACGGUUGAUUAGUAUACCACAUAAGUCGACAAGACAACCAAGUCAAAAUAAGGUAACUAGCGCUCCAUGGAGCAGAAGAAUAAAUAGAUGAAAAAUAAAAAAGGUAAGCUUCUGUCAAGAUUAGUUGGCCAUAGAAACUACAAUCAUGAGCGAACCUUUUGCUCACAAGUCACAAGACAAACAAGACAACCAAAAAUUAAAUAUCCUGCAGUUAAAACAAUUAUAAGAAAAACUGUGAUUCAGCAAUUAUUUCUCACCAGUAAAUUUUGACAUCAUUAACUGUACAGAACAGAAAUGGUUUUGACUACCACUAAAUAAGCAAGCAUGGCCCAAUUCAUUUCAUCGUCGGGCAUCCUACCAGAUAUGGCUUCCAUAUAUCAAAGAAUAGUACAUUCCAGAAAUAUGGAAAUCAAGAGCACAAAGAAGCCAUUGCUGCAUAACAGACUCGUCCAACUAGACACCAGUAGUACAACGAUGAUGCAGCAGUGAAGGCAUCUCAGGUAAAAACCAAAUAAUCCUGUACGAUUUUCUACUCCGAUAAGAGCUCUAAGCAAACAAAUUCGCACAACCACACGGAUUUUUCCUAUCUCCACAAGCAAUUGUCCCAGAUCCAUCCCCAACAGCAGCAUCAGCAGCAGCAGCAAGCAAGCAAAUCGGGAGCAGCAGGGAUAGAGGAAGCACAGAGUGGUGGCCUUACGGUCUCGCGUGAUUUGGCGGAAGCUCCGGUGGUCCCCGCCCUGGGAGGAGGUGUCCGAGUCCAUCGACAUGGCGCCGGAGAUCUCCCCCGCCUACUUCCGGCGACGCCGCCUCGGGCUGCGCUAGUAGGGUGGAGAGAACCACUAGCCUUUGACCCGCCCCGCGUAGAGGAGGCGGUGAUCGGCGGGCGGCGAGCAAGCAGAAGAAGGGGAAGUCGGAGAGAGAUCAGAGGGAAUGCUCCGUGUGGCCGCGUGCCGGAGAGAGGAAGAAGAGAAUUGGGGGGAGGAAGCGCGUGCGCGUCUCCAAGAGGUCGUCGGACGGUGGCGGCCGAGGAGAUUUUACCAGAUUGCCCCCCCCCCCCCCCCCCCCCCCUCCUCUGUGCUUCGUUGGACUUUUUUUUUUCUUUUUGACGCUGUGCUUCGUUGGACUUGACCUGUACGACUUCCAUGCUAAGAAAAGGGGCAGGCGGUGCGGUUGCUCUGCAACCUUUAUUCGUAUCUAUGUGACAUGUGGGGCCCACUUGGUACCCACCGGUCAUUGGUUAUAGUUGAGUGAAGCCGACGCCACUCGCUCUCAGGUCUCUCACAGUGCGGUGAGCUGGACCGGGACCUCGUCGCGCCACGUUGGAUUUUUGCCGCCGUGUCACUUGGACCCGCACCUAAACUAGGUUCCUCGUCCCCUAGGUGAGCGACGCAAAACCUCGCGAAAUCCAGGGCGCGCAGCGAGGAGAAGACCCGGGUCGCGCGCGCUGUGGGCGGCGUAGCCUCGCCCUCGCGUCGAAACCGUAGCGCGAAAUCCCCGAUUUGCCCUCCCAAAACCCACUCCCGCCGCACCGAUUUCCCUCUCCCGCCACCAAUUCCUCUGCUCCCACGCCGAGAAUCCUCAAAAUUAGCAAGCAAAAUCAAGAACACAGAUCGUCACGGCGAUUACCAGAAGAAUCACACAAGAGACACAAAAUCAUAGAAGAAAAUCAAGAGUCACACAAAAUCACACAAAAAAAAUCAAGAACGCCGCCGCCAAGAACGCCAAGGAGGAGUGCGCCUUCCUCCCGGCCGCCGCCGAGCUCCGCCGCCACGCGCGUCAUGACGCCAAGCUCCGCCUUGGCCAGGUCGACGCCGAGCCCGUCCACCACGCUCCAGGGCGGGGCUAGCGCCGCCACGCCCCUGGCCACGCCGACCCCUCCCUGCCUCUGCGCCGCCCUGGUGGGGGAGAUGAGGAGGCGUCACGGGGGAGAAGCCGCGAUGCGUCGGUGGAGCGGUGAAGUUGUCGAGGUCGUCCGGGAAGAAGCCGCGACGCGUCGGUGACGACGUCAUCCAUGGGGGGCCGGAUGCGAGACUCGCCAUGGCUUCCUGCGAGCUUCUUGAGCUCGCGGAGAAGGAGCGAAGGCGCGAGGGGAGGUGGGGGAGGAGCGCGAGGCGUCCCCGGCGUGCCGCCACGGCGUGGGAGGCAAGGAGGCGCGGCGGCGGACCGGGAGGAGGAGCGGCGUGGGAGGCGAGACGAAGGAGGCAUGGCGGUAGAAGGAGAGAAGGAGGAGGAGCGGUGAGGAGAGAAGGGUAGGUGAGGAAAUAAAUUGCGUUCGGCUCCCGUGUCCCACGCGCGUAGGGUAACACCCAUUGUGGGAUUCUUUUCCUUCCAUAGUAUCUCCAUUCAAUUAGGUCACGUAAAAUAGAAUCCUUGCACUGUGGGAAAGAGUGUCUUUGGGUCUUUUUUUGGGGCUAAGACACGGGCUCCGGUGCUUGCACUGUGAGUGCCCUCAGAUUAGACGGUUUCCACUGCACGCUUGAAAAAUGAAAUGGACCACCAACAAUCUAUACUAAUAUAAAAAGGAAUAGUUAUCUUCUUCCAAUCCGAUAGGUAAAAUCAACAGGUGAAAUCCCUACCGUUUAUCCGCAUCGCUCUAAUCCCUAUCGUCCACAGGAUUUCACCCUCCCGCAAUGACCGCGAUUUCACUCCCCUAUCCAUCCACCGCGAUUUUCACCCGCGCUCUCGCCACCACGCGAAGACUCCGCCUCCGCGCUAUUCUCUCCUCCUCACGUCUCCCCACCACCACUCCACUCCACCACUGGCCCCGCCGGAGACGGAGCCGAGGUCUUCCGCCGCCACCGCCGCCGUCGCCACACUCCACCGCUGGCCCCGCUGGAGAAUUCUGCAAAAUUAUCAUCGUCCCCACCGUAGCGCUUGCUCUUCCCAGCCACCGCAUCGCGCACCACGGCACAGCCAUCGAGCAACAGCACCUCCUCCUCCCCGCUGCCUACUCCACCGAGGGAGACCUUGGCAUCAUCGUCGCUGCCCUCAAACCGGCGUCCAAAUGGGAUGGGGGAAGGGAGAGACAGUGGCGCAUUUGGGAAUGGGAAAGAGUUAAGAGGGGGAGACCGCGGUGGUAGUAGGGGACAAUGGAGAAGGUGGCACCGUGUUAGGAACUCUUGUGGGCUGCAAUGUGGGCCAGUUCAGUGGCCUUCUAAGCCUAGCCCAACCAAGACAAGGAGGAGAACUACAAAACAGCAAAGCUGCACUUUCAGGGGCUAUCGCAAGAUCAAUUGGCAAACGGCGACGGCGGCGGCGACCUGGUGGCCGGUUGGCACCUUGUCGAUUUCCUUCCUCCCUACCUUCCUUCUCCCUCUAUCUUCUCCAUCUUCCACCACUUGUAUCCCCUUAGUUCAUCCUCCUUCCACCUCUAUUUAUUGGAGUAUGGUUGCUAUUGUAUUGGAUGCUUGCAUAUUUGAGUGGAAUUGAGAUCAGAGGUUGGGGUUCCUAACAAAUUGGUAUCAGAGCUACUCGGUUCGUGGGAUUUCUUGUCAUUGAGGUCUUGGGAAGGCAGCAGUGCAAGGUGGAAGAAGAAUUGGGCAAGGGAGGUGUUCAAGAAUCUAGCGCACACAACCUGUUCGACAGACUGACAAGCCAACAUAAGGUGUUCAAGGAUGAUGAAAGGAUAGCAGAGCCUGUUCCCAUCAAGUCCACCAUGAACAAGGAGGGAAUAUCCAUGGACGAAGCUUUAGAUCGGAUUCUUGAGAGGUUUGAGUUGAUGGAGGCCAACCGUAGACAAGAGGAGAAGUUCAAUCAAAUACUACAAAAGCUGGAGGAGGUAGAGGCUCGUAGGAGCAAGGCUGCCGAGGAGACAAUUGCAUCCAUCAGGGCAACCACCGCUGUCCUCAAGGCUACAUCACCUAUAGCACCCAUGGCACCACCUACUCCAGCGUGUACCAAGUGUUUGACAGAAUGCCCCAACAACAACCUCACUUGGGCGACGGUGAGCUCAAGUCACAUUAGUGAGGAUACUGCUCCAACAGUUGCCUGGGAGCUAGGAGACAACAAGGACAAGGGCCACGCCCCCUGCGUCGUCACAAAGGACUCACUCGAGGUCACGCCCACCAUGUGUUCGACGAAAUGCUCCGGUCCUACCGUUGAGCCUGAUCUCACUGUGGCUGUAGUGGUUACGUCCGCCACCACUGCCGCGGCCUCUAUGGAGUUGGUAGCUACUGGGAACACAAUCGGUGCCACUUACAUCAACAAUCUUGACCACCCCAAGGUGACGCACGCCAAGUGUUUGAUGUUGGACCUUGGCUCCAAUAGUGGCGACAACCAAACCAUGGUCACGUUCCAGACCUUAGUGGACAUGACUAAAGGCGUUUUUGCACCUGAUGCAACAAUUGAAGUCAGCUCACCAAGGAAGAUCGCUGAAAUGGACUUGGUCAUAGUGAUGCCUACAGGGUGUUCAAUGCUAUUCUUUGACAAAGGUGCCAGUGAGUUGCUGCCUGUAAGGAGACAUGUUAUGUGGCAAUUGUUAUUGGAGCAGUGCAAGUGAAACCCUUGGUCGCCUCCUAACUCAGUUUAUCAAGUUAAUGGAAUAUGGGAGUUGUGGCAUGUGCCCUGGAUAGACUUCAACUAUUUUAGAACAAGAUUAUGUUUGAUGCCACCUUAGCCACCAUCGACUCAAAUUGGAACCAUAAUGCUUUGGCUGGUGGCAAACUCAUGGUUGAGAAUAGUAGAGCUGAAACCGUGGCCUGACCCACAAUCAAGUCAAUGUAGCAUAGGCGGGAGGUGGACUGAACUGAAAGUUCCAUGGUCAGCACUUGAUUGUGAAUGUUCUAUGGGAGAUGAUCUUUGCAGUGCAAAUUGCAUAAGAAACGAAGCACUUUCUGUUACAUUAUCUUGUGCACCUAAAGGAGAUUUAAAUCAUAAAAAAAUUGAUGGAUCUCAGAAGGAUACCUUGGUGGCAUUACUUAUUGUAAUGACCCUAAAAUUUUAAUUUGCUUCGCCGCGCUGUUGGCAACCUAGUUGAGCUCACUGUGUUGAGCUGAACGACUAGUUGUGUCACACGAUUGGCUUGGAUUUUUUUUUUUGCGUUAGAGGAUCGAUUCAUAUGCAUAUAUCACAGUUGAAACACAAAUUAGACACAUAAGUAAAUUCUUUAUUUCUUCACAUAUACAUUAUACAGUGUUGUUGCAUACAUCAAAUGCAUCUCAUACAUUAUUCGUCUAAAAUAGAAAUAGUGAAAAUUAAAUAAAAAUGUUGGUGUGAUCUGUGACCACACCUAAUUGCUUUAGGAGAUUUCAAAUAUAAGAUUUAGGCAAAAGAGAAAAUUUAGAGUUGCUUGAUGUCACAUAUUUUGCAACCAAACCAUUUUGGGGCACAAAAUUUGUAACAUUAGCCAUCUCUUAGUACUUUCCAAAACUAUUUAUUUCUUAGGUAAACUCUGAGUUUUUGGGCAAUUGAAAAUCAGUCCCUAAAUUCAAAGUAAUCUCCAUAUUUUUAAAGUCUAUGGUACUAUAAUGCAAAAGUUACAAAUAUCAUACUUUUCACUAGAUUUUUAUUUAAUUGCAAAUCUGUGAAAAAUUAUGCUGAGCCUCCACCGAAUAAACCAUGCUUAGGUGUCAAACAGGGAGACCACUAGUAAAACCUUAGUAGGUGAGUCACCUAGUAGUCAACCAUGUCCAUGUGACAAAAACCAUAUCAGUGUGAACCCCAUCCUGACCGAGCCUCGUUUUCCUCGUAGAGACCAAAACCAGUUAGCAAGAAGAACCACCAUAACCAGAGAGUGGAGAAGAAAAGAAAAAUACAAGAGGGCAAACUCACCCAACAUUAGGUGGAGCAGGGGCUCCAGCUCCAUUAGGAGCAGGUACCCCAGCUCAAGGAGGAGACGCUGAUUCAGUAGAAUCAACCAACCAAUAGAAGCUGCAGUAGAAAAAGAGGAGUUCAACCAUAUAUUUUCACAACCACUGAAUAAGCCACAAAGAGGUAAACUAGAUUAAGAGCAUCAUCCAUGGCAUAUAAUCAUGAUUAGAAGUCAGAUUAUUUUACAAAUCAAGAAUCUAGAGACCAUAUUAUUUGCAUUACAAGGUUACAGUGGCACACAUCUAACUAAUUUUUCUAUUGUGGGACAUUAUGAGAAAUAGAACAGAAAAAUAGAAGGGGGAAAAGGGAUAUGGAGUUACUGGUGAGGGUUGUGGCCGGCAGAGUUGCCAUUUGAGGCAUUGGCCGUCUCCACGGCGACCAUCACAGGAGUUGAGUACCAAUAGCCAUGGAGGACAACAAUGCUCAGAUUCCUUGAGAGAGGAGAGGUGGUAGUAGAGGAUGGAGGUAAAGCAGGAUAUGAGUUUGUGGGAACUAGGGGGAUCAAAUCACUGCAGGGGCAGCUGCUAGGGAGAUCGCCGGAGUGGGGCGUGGCAGCCGGCCUGAGGGAGAGCGUCGGUGUUGGCGGCGCUGUUUGGGGAUGGCGGCACAGGAGAGAAGGCGUGAAGGAGAGAAGGAGAUAGCGAGAGAAGAAGAUGAGAAGAAAGAAAGUGGGCUGGUUGGGCUUUGGUUUUGUGGGCUAGACUAAAUUAAUUAUAUAUAGUCUCUAGGAAAUUAGUUUUAGAUUUAGAAUAGAAUGUGAGCAAGUUUAUAUAGCAUACAAAUUGAUGAUUCUAAAUUUUUGACAUUAGUGCUAAAAUAAAAUCUGAGCAGAGCAAAAUAAAUUUAUAUAACAGUACCUGAUCAUUAUAUUUGCCAUUCAUAAUACAUCAUUCAUAUGCAUUGCAUGCGGUAAAUUUAUGCGUUCGGAAUAUGUCCUUAUUCGGACUUCCGUAUUUUUUUCAGAAGUUCGAGUUCCCGAGGAAUCAUUCAUUUCGACUGAAUCUGAGGGUAUUUGUGGUGUUUUCUAUCCAGGCAAGUCCAUCUCUUGAUCAUAUUGCUUAGUUAUUUCAAAUAUUUGCAACCUAUAUAACUCUCACCAUUGCAUAGAAAACCAGAAAUUUAUUUCUGAAUGUUAAUAUUGUACAUGUGGAUCUGUGGAUCAGUUCUUUGGUGAUCUUAAUAAUUGGCAGUCUGAACUUGGUUGUUGUGUAGUUCAGCUGUAUAUGCUUAACAUCAUAAGGUUAAUUAACAACUGCUGUAGGUAUGCAAGCGCCGUAGCGAUCGUGUCGACCAUAUGACCUGGAAUGGGAUAGGCUGGCUUAGUAGUUCUUUCUUAAUGGCUUUAUCCUGCGGGCUUAAGGACUUCCGCGAAUCCCGUGAGCGUGGGCUAGCGAUGAGGGUUGCCGUUGUUGCGGAAUCCGAUUAGAUGAUGUGGAUCGCCAUUUUUGCGGGAUCCGAUGAUUCGCCGUUGUUGCGGGAAUCACCCGCAGAGAUAAUUGACAGAUGGGAUUGAUGAAAAGCUUGUGACCUUAGCCUUGCUGGCAUACACCAUGAAGUGUGCUUUAAGCGCCGACGGGCAUGGGCGUUAAAAGGUUUAAGGCGUCUAUGGGUAUAGCGACACACCUCUGCAGAGUGUAUGAAUUGUGAUAUGUCACUCCCUGUUUCGGGUAGAAACUGCGAACGCGGUAGGAAAGGGAUCUAUCGGAGAUUCUACCCUGUGGUACUUUAUAUGCAGUAGUGUUUUAUAAUUAAAAUUUGAAUUUUUGCAACAAAUAUUUGUCAAAAACAUUAUGAAUUCUUUGAAGAAUCUUGAAUUCUAGAGAUAGUUGCAUUCACACAUUUUCUUGCUAUUGAUGGGCUUGUUGAGUACCAUUUGUACUCAUCCCCUAUGUUAAUUCCUUGUAUAUAGAUGUUGAAUCAUUAGAAUCUGUUGAACAAGAAUAUAUGGCUGGAAGUGAAGGAACUCACGUUAUGGAUGACAACCAGGAAGGACUCUACGAUGAUGCUGAGAUUGACUAUGAUAAUUAGUAUAUAAUAUGCAUGGUUCAUAUAGUUGCUGUAGUGGUGAUGGUAGUAGCUGUGGCAGCGGUAGUAUUUGUAGUAGUAGCAGUAACAUUAAUAUGAGUAGUAGUAAUAUCUGUAGCAGCACUUGUGAAUUUUCUUGUGUGCUAUAUAUGUGCUGAGUUUUUGGGGUUUGUAUAUUAUUUUGCUGUUAUCGCUCGAGGCUUGUCUUGAGCUGUAUCUAUGGUACUGUAAUAACCGGAACCAAUGCGAUGUUUCUGCUAUGCUACUCUGAUGUGCAUAUCUCUGAGUAAACGGUGUUUAUGAAGAUAUAUGCUAUAGACUUAUAUUCUACUCUUGUUGUGGAAUAUGUGGGUCGUUUCACUUAUCUUGGAACAUUUCCAUUAUGUGGGUGAUGAAGAAAAAGUUACACAGGGAAUGCUAAAUGGUCUAAUUGCAGUGGGCUGCAACUACUUGAUCCUGAUCAUGUGUGCUGCUAUAAUCACAACAACAUUUCAUCUUGCUAUGAUUACAACUCAAGGCAACAACGUAUAUGGGACAAAUCAAUUGCAUGAGAAGCUCAUUGCCAGAUUGAUUCCUUUGACCACGAGAGGAUUGCCCCUGCCAAUUCAUGGUAAUGGCUCAAAUGUCAGAAACUAUUUGUAUUGUGAUGAUGUUGCUGAAGCUUUUGAGGUGGUUCUUCACAAGGGUCAGGUCAGCCAUGUGUAUCAUAUCGGUACUGCGAAGGAAAGAAGGGUGAUUGAUGAGGCUAAGGACAUAUCGGUAUGAGAUUCUAUCCUUUGGCCAAAACUGAAGCAUGUUGAUGUACAGGAGGAUGGAAACAACAGGUGGACUAGAGAUUUUUCAAGUAGAAGCAUUGUAUUGAAAGGGCGAAAAGAUUGUGGACUUUGUUGGUGUGCACUGGAUGUUAUCAGGGACGUGAAAGUUGAUCGGGUCCUGCAACUUUUGAAGCAAUAUGGUUCAGCAAAAUUGGUGAUCAUUAAUUCCUUGAGUAUACCAUGGGAUCCAGGCGGCUCUCGUGUGACAUUGGCUGGGCGUUCUUCUUGUCACAUUGGCUACAUUACAAGAGAAGUAUUAACAGAGGAAAUCAAGUAUAAAUCAUUGCAUCAAACAUAUCCGUUGGUGAAGUUUCCACAAUUAAGGUCAUCGGCUUGGGGACAAGCCGAAUUUUAAGAAAUGGGGAUUGUUAGGAACUCUUGUGGGCUGCAAUGUGGGUCAGUUCAGUGGCCUUCUAAGCCUAGCCCAACCAAGACAAGGAGGAGAACUACAAAACAGCAAAGCUACACUUUCAGGGGCUAUCGCAAGAUCAAUUGGCGAACGGCGACGGCGGCGGCGACCUGGUGGCCAGUUGGCACCUUGUCGAUUUCCUUCCAACCUACCUUCCUUCUCCCUCUAUCUUCUCCAUCUUCCACCACUUGUAUCCCUUAGUUCAUCCUCCUUCCACCUCUAUUUACUGGAGUAUGGUUGCUAUUGUAUUGGAUGCUUGCAUAUUUGAGUGGAAUUGAGAUCAGAGGUUGGAGUUCCUAACACACCGCCAAUGUUCGGCCCUGCGACAUGAAAGGUAGGUUUCCUCCAAGACCAGCAGCAACGGUGUAUAGGCUACACAGGUGAUGUCACAACCAUGCCACUUGCCUGCUGCUGGUGCCUCCAUCUCCCUAACUCACGGAGCAUUUCUUCAGAUCUACAGCCAUGCCAUGCUGAGUCAGGUCCGAUCUACAGCCAUGCCAUGCGGAAUCAGGUCUGAUCCAAUUCCCUACUUGCUCCUCUCCUUUUAUCCUGGUUUACUCUUUCGCUCUCCGAUAUUUGAUUUAUGGCUUGUUCGUGAUUCGUUUGGUUAAUCACGCAUUAGUUUGUUGUUUGCACAUUUAAUCCUCUAAGCAUUAUAAUUGGUUUAUUUCAAAUUUUGUAAUAUAGAAAGAUUCUGCUGACUUGAAAAAAAAAGAUCUGUAAUAAGAUGGCUGAAGUCUUCAUUUCUGUCAGCAACGCGUAACUAGGCUGCACAUGCUCCUUUUUCUUCCAAUUCUAAAUGUGAAGUUAAGAUAUGUGAUUCACUUCCAUCUUAGUUUUGAGAUGCAGCGGUUCGUAGCUUCCCUUGAAAAUCUCAUUUGUUUUUUAAUCCAAUUGCAGGGUGCCGUUGCUCUCCUGGUUUGGAGGUUGGACCAUUUUCUAAGUCAUCUUUAGAUUUCAUAAAAAUAAUAUUAAAGUGAUUAGAAGAAAUUAAGUUAUCCUAAUUCGUGUCUCAAAGUUGGUAAUCGACAACACACUUCGUUAGAACAUAAUAUGUUUUUUUUCAUCAAAAUCAACAGCUCUCGAGUCCAAACAUCAUUGGAAGCUUUUUGGCUCCAUGGCAGAUUAUUUUUUCUUUUAUCCCAUAGUUAUUUUUCUGUGUCGCACUGCUCUACCUCUGGAAUUUUCAUAAUUCCAUAAUUCAAGCAAAAGUGUUUCAAUAUUUUUUUAUACUAUUUUUGGUAAUAGCAUCGAUUUCAUGCCAGUGGCAAGCCUAUCAAGUAUUUUAAUCAAAGAAUGGAACGCUUUUUGUAGAUGUACAGGGAAAAUGGAAAUGGUACAGGUAUUUCAUAUUGUCCUACGAGGUAAUAUUUCUUCACUCGGUAAUCUGUUCAGUCAAUGAAAAGUUGUGCAAUCUCCUGACUCUUUCAGGACAUCGACAUAACUACUACAUGGACAGGGAAGAGUUAUGAGGUAUUAAAGGCCUGAGAUUCAUGGAAAAACAUAUCCUCGGGCAACAUGUUCAUUAAUGUACCAAUGUGCUUGAUAGAAUCCCACUGCAAGGAAAUUUGUAUUGUUCUGAUCAAGGCACAAGUACAGGAGAAAAUUGACGUAUUUUUGGAUAUGCAAGCACUGGGCAUUCAAAUAAGAUCUUUUUGUCAUGCUUUCUAUUUUCUAUUUAACUACUGGAGUAUAACGUCUAUUUUCCCCUGAGCCAAAAUACAGAUGAAUUGUUCUGCAGAGUGUAAAAUUGGGCACAAAAAUGCUGAGUAAUUGCACCAUAAAUCAAUAAAUCACUACGUACUUAUACAGAUUGGAGCUGUUUAUUUUCCUUCCACUCAGGCUUCUUGCUGUUGGUGCAAAUGGACUUGCAAUCAAAUCAAAUGCCCUGUCAUGAGAAGGAAGAGGUGGCCUGGCCAGCCGAGGUCGCGACCGAUGUGCUUGCAAUCAGCGGCAAAGUGGAAGCUAGAGCAGCCGGAUGUCAGCGAGAGCAUGCACUGCCUCAAUCAUGAGCUUGCAUCGCCGAGCUUAAUUCGGAGUCUGCCAUCAACAUAGGUCAUCUUUCCUAACCAACCUCAAUUUGUUUACUUGGUCCACAUCUUUGGCUUCGUACCUCAAGUUUGAUGUAAUUCCUUCAUUUAUGCGCCGGUUAAGUUAUUGCUUGGUUUGCUCUUGUUAUUAAUGAAUUCUUACUAUUUAUAUGAGCAUCUUACAUGACAAAUGCAGAUUGCUACUUACUUUGUCUAGGUAUAUUCACAAGGUCAUUUUUCUUAAAAGUUGAAUUGUUCCCUCUAAAUGAAGGCUUAUUCAACCUAUAGGAAUAAGUUUUUAAAAGUUGAAUUGUUCCCUAGCCUGAAGCAAAUCUCUUUCCUGUUUGAACUCUACAGGAAUGAGCAGUAAUGAGGCUUGAAGGUGAUACAGUUAUCGACUUGAAAUUGUAGUCGGAUAAAGUAUUUGAUUAUUUGCCUCCACAUUUGAUUCGUAUAUAUUAGUUUAACAAAUACAUAAUUGAAAGUGAAGGAUCUGACCUAUAACUGACGCCUAAUGGUAGGCAUUUAAAGGAAUCUGAAAUUGUAACUAACUUUCUUUUGUACGAAAGAAUUCAAAUACAUAAAUGUGCAGAUGCAGCGAGGCUUUUUCAGAAACAAAUAUGAUUCUUACUGUUAAAAUAUCCUCUACCUGGCAGACAUCUAAGGAAGUGUACUCAUUUGAAUUCUGAUUUUGCUUUUUCUCAGGGUUGUUUCAUGUUCUAAAGAGUGUCAUCUGCAAUGCGAUAGCUUUAGAGAGAUGAAAGUCCAAUUAUGCUAGAUUAUCAGUUUUUUUGCAAGGAUGCUAGAAUAUCACUUUGACUUGUUUGGUACUGUCCAAUGCCAAUAGUGGCAAUGAAGACAACUCUUUAUACAUCAUCAGAGGAAAUGCUGACUCCAUUAUUUGUGAUAGAAAAUGUUAAACAUGGUGGAAGCAGGGGAGUAGAAUGUGGAGCAAAUAUAAAUAUAUUUUGAAGCUAGGCAGGACAUGAGGGUGCUCAUACAAAGUGAUUUCUGAGAGCUCAGAUUAAUUUUCUAUCUAUAAAUAACCAUCUCCAUAAAUGGGGUAUAUAUAUGUUUUUUUAAUAGAAGUUUUGCAUACAUUUUUUUGUGCAGUUUCUAUACUCUAGCUAGCGCUGGAAUGGUCCUACUUCUUUCAUUUACAACAUAUCAGCUUGGUUUCCCAUUUGGACUUAAAACUGUAAAUAUGGCAAGCAUGUAGAUAAAGUUGAUCCUACAUGCAUGCCACAACUUAUCAGACAUACCGUCUGCAUACUCUGAUUGUACAUUCAUGUCCAUACAGGGGAGUAAGUUCGGUAAAUUCAUCUUAGUGAACAGAACAUUUGUGCAUUUCAUUCAAUUUUUUGUUUUGUGGUGAUGAGAAGACUAUGUCAUUUGUUAUUCUUCUAUAAGAAAAUAAUUUGUUAUUCUUGUGUAAGAAAAUUGUUUGUUAUUCUUCUAUCUAUACUAAUAUAAAAAGCAUGAGUUUACCCUGCAAUCCAACUGGUGAAAUCACCUAUACCGUGUCUAAUCCAUCACCCACGCAAUCCUUGCCGCUCCAUCCUCCUGGCGCAAACAAUGCCACCAGCCACCACGCCCUCCUCCCUGAAUGAGCCUCAUUACUCCAGUAUAUGCUCCUCCCUAUUAGCGCCACUCCAUCGCUAUUCGUUGCGUUGGUCGAUCAUCGUUGCCACUCGCUAAGCGUCUCGACCGCUGGUUAUUGUUGUGGCGCACCGACAGCUUUCACCAUGACCCCCGGCCACUGGUCCUCGCUGCACGCUGCUGCAUGAUGGCCAUGGUGGCUCUCGAGUGUGGAGACGACAGGGCGAAGGGUGGAGUGAUGUCGAGGCUAGCGGAAUCAAGCAGAUCUAGAGGCCACGUCGCCGGCCGGCCUGUCCGUCGCCACCUAGGCGCUCGCCUCUCAGCCCUCCCGCCUUUAGCUGCUGCCGCGUCGACUGCCACCUUAGGAUUUGAAGGUGGUGCUCUACAACAGGGACGGCGCCACUGUGCCACCAUGGUCAUGAUGGCCCUGGUCCCUGGAGGUCAGGAGGGCAGGGAGGAGACCUCGCUCCGUGACCCCGACGCCGCCGCCGCCGCCGCCGGUUCCUGCACCAUCGUGGGCUCGCGGCAAUGUCGCCCCCUUACAUCUUCUGUGCCGCGCCAUCCAUCACCAUUCACCACGGUCACUCUGUUUCCAUAUCUAUGUCCACGGUUCAUUUGGGUUCUGGUAAGGGAGUUCCUACUCAUCCGAGUCCACAUUUCGGUUCUUCAGUUUUGUUCCGGUAAGGCAAUUUCUAAUUUUCGUUGACUGCCCCGCUUGCUGAUUUCCCUUCCUACUUUUCGUGGACAUCAGGAAGAGGAGGUCCACUGCCAUGUGUGUGAGAGCGACUUGAUCUAAUUUUUCAUGCUUGUGGUGUACAUUGAAAUUUUCUUCACGAUUAUCGUCCUUGCUAUGAAAUGCUUAUGCUAAUGAUUUGAUUGGUAAUCUUUCGAUAUGGAUUGAUCACUGAAUACUGAUGCAUUGGAUCCUUGGAGUGACCGUACAAUGCUUUGCAUUUCUAAUCGUUGUCCCCUACUUUAUACUUCAUUCAGUUCAUGGUAUAUCUCAUUAAUCGAGAAGAAAUUGAUAUGGUACCAAACGAGAUAAGACAAACAAGUUCUUGGACUGUAUGUGGUUACUUUUAAAAGUUAGCAUUCUAACAAGUAUGUUUGUAUAACUUUUUUUCGGUUAUAAUUUCCUUUUUUAUUUGAGUGAAUGCUCAGGUUAUAAUUUUAAUAGUAUAUUGUUAUCUAAAUAAAUGCGGCGCGAAGGUCAUGAGGUAGUUCUGAAAUUUCAGAGAAAUCUUCGAAGAUUUAUAUUUGGAAAAUUCAUAAACAGAGAUAAUGGCAAAUCCCUGGUUUUUGACCAUGGAACUGGAGAGUACAUUUAUCACCAAUGUUGCAUUAGAGUUUGUUUUCAAUAUCUGGAAAUUUUCUUAUUAAUUAUUGGCACCGUGUACAUGAAGCUUUUAUUGUUGAAGUCUCAAUUAACUUCUUACUCCAUUUUGUGUUCCAUGGAAUAUUCUUCUCCUUUUCAUCCCUGAAGCUAAUUUUUGUGUCUUCUUUUUAUCAGGCGAGUGAAUGAAUUUUCUUUUAAUUAGAAAGGUUACCCCCUCCCAUUUCUACUAAAUUAAACUGAUAUGUUUACAGCACAAGAGUCAUCCAGGCUAACAACAAGAAAACGAAGAACUGAUUUUACUUCUUCAUAAACAGGUGCAGAAAUUAGAUAGAAAGAUAACACAAUAUUAAGAUUGCUAGAAAAGAGUUCUAGUUUGCAUGGAGCAAUAACCCUUCCAGUCCGUCAGUUCCAUAUUACUGAAUGUAAAUUAUCGGUAAUAAGAAAUAUCUCAUAGUUUCUUAUUACCGAAUGCUAAUCCAUUGAUUUAAUUUCAGUUCUGGGCUUUUGUCAUCAUGUAUAAACAAAUAAUACCUUCGAGGAUUUUAUUGCCUUCUUAGUUCAAUUUUGGUAAUAUAUUUCUCCCAUGAUGGGAAUCAUGUCCCUUUUUACAGCUUACAUCAAGAUUCUUAAACUAGACUGUUCAUUUUACUUCUGCAGAUUAUUUCACUACUUUCUUGGUUUUAUUUCCUGUCAUCAGAUUUUACAUUCACAUGUACAAAUGAAGUAAUGGUUACCAUUAUUUUUGCUUGCUCUAUAUGUAUGCACCCAUAUGGCUUUUUACUAACCAAGCCGUAGUAUACUGGUAUCUGAUCCGGCUAGCUUGAUCCUCAUAUCCUUCCAUACAUUAUGGCAUUUCCGUUUGCCAGCCAAUGGAGUGCGCUCCUUUUUGCUCUAUCCUUUUUUUAUAUAAAGUUUUAUUGUGCUCCCCUGUAUUUUCCAAUAUUGUGAUUCCUUCAACAGAUCCACACAUUGCUUACGAUACAUGACUUUAGUUUUUUUGUCUAAAACUUGAUGUGCGCUUUUCUUUUGCAGUAUUUUUGUUGAAGUCAAAUUUCAAUGGCAAAUCAAUUUAAACCAUCUUAUACUUAAAUGGCUGGGAAGUUAGCUAUAAGCAGGUGAUGGAGAUAAUUUUGUUGUAGACAUAGGAUUGAGCUCACUUCUGUUGACAUCAAUAUAAGCACACAAGGUUCAAGAAAGUUUCAGUAAGAAAAUUGUUUUUUAGUUCACAAUAACGAUGUGUUGAUCUCUUUUGAGAUUGUUGUUGCAACUCCAGUCCCGUACAUCACACGUAGUUAAUAGCUCAGUUAUUUCUGAAUUUUGAUACUACUUUUAGAGCUACUGACCUAAAAAUUCCUAAAUUUAUAAUAUGAUUAUGAAUUUCCCAUGAUAUAUUUUAUGGAAAAUGUGCAUUGCAUGUGCACGCUUACUAGUAUUGAACAAAAUUAUUUUGUGGUUUACUUAGUAACCAUGAUUCAUUGAUUCCAUCCAAGUUCCCGUUAAAAUUUUCUCCUUUGUGCGCUUACAUAGAAAUUGUGUUGAGAAAUAUAAAAAAAUGUAUGCCCUUUAUUAUCAUUUGUACUCCAGGUUAAUGGUGUAGAUCCUCUGGUCAACCAUUUCCACCAUCACCCUCUGGAUCAAGCAGUUGUCAUCCUCAAGAUUGCCCCACAACUAUUGAGGUUGAGUUCGCAUGUCGCCACUACCCUCGAGUUCCCCCGCUAGCUACUAUUUCUAAACGGGUGAGAAUCCUAUAUCAUAAUGUCGCUACCAUUACAGUCAUUGGUACACGGGUCUCAACUUAUUAUUGCCCCACACGUCAGUUUCUAUAAUGAUAGUGUUAUUAUAGUAGAGGAUGUGAACCCAUCCUAAAUAGUGACAUUGAUACAUCUUCAUCGCUGUCACUGUCUCCAAAUCCGACAAAUGAUAUACUAGCAGCAGCGUAAUGGAACUAGAGAUGGCAAUGGUUCCCUAGUCCUUGGAUUCCCCGCGGUGAAUCCUCCCAUUAGGAGGAGGGGGUGGUAUAAAAUAUGUCUCCACGGAACAUUAAAUGGAGUAAAAACACUCUCCAUCGGGUCUGGCGGGGGCGGGUUUGGUUCACCAUCCCUCGUCCCCGCUCUCCGUGGAGGUCCGACGUAACAAUGUAUGUGUAAUAUUAUCAUGUAUAUUUGGCCCAUCUAGCCCAUAGAAACUAGGCCCAAAACGUAGAGUAUAUAAAGUAUCUACAAAACCCUAGCCAUUCCAAUCCCUUCUCCCUUUCGUCCCCAUUCCCCACGCCGUCGCAGGCUCGUAGCCUAGCUAGCGGCGUGCCGGUGCCGACUCCCGAUCUCAAUCUCGUAGGGCCGCCGCGCGCCUGCCGCGUCAGCACCCUCGCAGGGUCGCCGGCUUGUCGUGCUCGCGUCCGCGCAGGGCCGCUGCGCCUCCAGGUCUCGGCACUGCCGCACCAGGUCCCAGCGCCACAGUCGUCUCGGUCUCUCGGCAGCACUGAGGACGCCAAGGACUUGGCACCGGCCACCAGACGUUGGGCUCAUCCUCCACUGUCCAUCCAUCCAUUCUGAAUUUCUGAUCCGUCAUCUGGGCUUAUUUGUUUUACUGAUGGUGGAUGCAGGUGAAGGCUACGGUGGCAAGAAAGACCUACUCCGAACUAUGUUUUUGUGUAUGCCUGGACAACAUGUGUAGCGGUGAUAACUAAUGAGUGAUCGACUGGUGAUUGAUUAAUGAUCAUGUGUUAUUGUGUUGUUGCUUAAUAUGAGAAUUUGAUGGAUAGUGUUGCUGAGGGGAAAUUCUUGGGUACAAAUUUGUUGUACUGCUUGUUGCUGCAAUGCUGUUGCAACUGAAUAAGUAAUAAACUGAUGAUGUGCAUUUGUGAAUUUGUGAACUUGUGAUAUGAAUUUGUGAACUUGUUUUCUUGUAUAAUUAUGUUGUUGUCAUGUGCUGAAAUUGCAUGGCCAGAAUUGCUAUUUUGAGUGAUAAUCUUUUUAUCAAAAUUAUUGUUUGAUAUGUGAAAUAUAUACAUGAGACUCGCGGGGAUGGAGGCUCCACGGAGGCGAUGAUGGUGAAAGAUGUUACCCCGUUGCAUUUCACGGUGAUGGUGAUAGGGGAAAUUCUCCUCCACCGAGGCGGGUCUGGUGGUGUAACCUCCGACGGAGAAUUCCCCGUUGCCAUCUCUAAAUGGAACAAGCAUGCUCGGCCCGAUGGAUCUGUACGUGCUCAACGCCAAGCGCACCAAAGGUCUUAGGCUCGAUUGAUAUUGAUCACUUACCCAAUUAAAUAUUAAAUCACUUAUUCCUUUUAUGUAUGUAAGCAAGCAUCAGAUAGAGCCCUGGUACACGUGAAAACGCAUGCAGUGGCAGAGGAUUCAGGGGGAUGACGAAGAAAGUGGAUGGGGAGUUGCGAUUGCCAAGAUCAUUGAUGCCGUUCUCAAUGUGGGAAAACACAUAAUAGAUAUAGGGUGUGUUUAGUUCACGUUAAAAUUGAAAGUUUGAUUGAAAUUGGAAUGAUGUGAUGGAAAAAUUGAAAGUUUGUGUGUGUAGGAAAGUUUUGAUGUGAUGUAAAAGUUGAAGGUUUGAAGAAAAAGUUAGGAACUAAACUAGGCCAUAUAUGUAGGUGUUGAUGAACUUGACUGCAUGUAUUGGCCUGUUCAAGUUCACUGUCAUUGGUGCAUGGAGCAUAUAAAUACACGCGAAAACUUUUCAUUAUAUCAGAUCGUGAAUAUUUGGACACAUGUAUGGAGUAUUAAAUAUAGAUAAAAAAAACUAAUUACACAGAUUACGUGUAAAUUGCGAGACGAAUCUUUUAAGCCUAAUUGCUACAUAAUUUGAUAAAGUAGUGCUAAAGUAAACAUUUACUAAUGACGGAUUAAUUAUGUUUAAUAAAUUCGUCUCGCAGUUUACAGGCGAAAUUUAUAAUUUAUUUUGAGUAUACGUUUAAUACUUCUAAUGUGUUCCCGUAUAUCCAAUAUGGCACGCUAAAACUUUUCACCCGUGAAUCUCCUAGCCUAACUUAAACACUCUCAAACAGACAUGUAAUUACAGAUGCACACAUGCUGUCACACAUGCAAGAUUAGAUCGAUAUAAUCAACUUUAUCCAAUUUUAAUUGCUCCAUCACUAGCUAGCCAUUGUUUACACGUUCCCUCCAAUAAAUCGCCAUCGACUUCACUGCUGCCACUUCCGUCGCCACCGACUCAGCUGCCGUUGCCACCGCCGUCGUCGCCACAACUGUCAUCUUUGGUGCCGCCACUAUACGAUGUCCCAGACAAGACAGUGAGUUUAAGUUCAACUAGCAAUAAUCACGCGCUACGCUGCGUGUGGAUUUGAAGGUAACAUCAUACUCAAAGCAGCCCAAAAUGGUUACAGUUGUCAAGUUUGCGCCAAGAGCAUACUUGCAUUUACACUUUAUUAAUAUUUUCAAGAUCAAAUGUGAAUUGUUCUGAUCGGUUCGUUCAGAGAACAAUUUGUACAACCAAUGCACAGUAGUGUAAAAGCCUUUCCAGUGUGAUGUAGAUUACAGAAAAAGAUCAAUGUUGAGUCGGUAAUCAUUAGAAGGCAAGGCGCAUACCUGAAAAUUUUUCAUAUAGAAAUCUUCAUCACGAAACAAUGAGAUCUUUUCACAUAGCACCUGCAUUGUGAAGGAUAUUUUAGUGUUUCGGCGCAAUAAAAACAACAGUAUAUAACCAAAUGUAUGUGCAGCAAUUUAGAUGACUGCUGCUUACUUGGAAAGUGCCAGUGACUACUGAGCUAUGUCCAAUAGGCCAACAUUAUGUCCAAGAGUUCGGUUUUACAUGCAUGAAGUGGAAACAAAAUGUUGCAAUUUCGAUUGAUUAAGCGCAAAAAUAACUAAUGAAAUCAUAAUGUCAAGUCAACCUAUGAUGCAAACUUCAUAGAAGUAUAUGUAAAAACAGAGAUUCAAUUUGAAAGAUGAUGGGUCAGUAGCAAAUUCCAGAAAUAUCGCUGUAAGGAAAAAAAAGAAAGAAAGACCCCAUGUGCACCUAUUGAAGCAUAUUUUUUUUAUAUCCAUCAUUUAGAGACUUAUUUAGUAUAUCUGACAAUUGUAGUUGCUAUGAUUAAUCGAAUUUACGGAGACUACCUAGAUGAGAUGGCCAAGAGACUUUUAGCAUGAUAUGAUAUACUUACCUUAAUCGUGGCCAAAAGACUUGAAACAUGAUAUGAUAUAGUUGCUCUGAGGUAUGGAGGUAUGGCUAUUUAAAGUUAUUUGCAUGAUCCAAAUAUAGGGGUAAAAGGUGGGGGGGGGGGGGGGGGCAGCAAAUCAGCAGAAAAAUUAUCAUAGAUGGGAAACAUACCAGAUGGAGCAUGUGGUUGCUGAUUUACAUUCCAUGCCAAGGAAUAAAAGGGAACAUAUAAUUUAUAAGUUUGUAUUGUCCACUUGCUAUUUAAAUUCAGAAUAUGUAGAUUAUUUUAAAGUAAUGAUAUUAUCUGAAUAUCCUUUUUCCAGAAUAUGCAGACACAUUUCAGGUUUAUAAGCUUGAAAAAAAAGGCACUAACGAACAUUCCAUCGUUGGUCAAAGAAUCCCAUCAUAGAUCAACUGGCCUAAAAAAGAAGAAAAAUAAGUGUUUCAUGCAUAGAAAGUGGUUUCAAUUUUAUAUCCAUCUGUUGGAUAUUAAGACAAAACUUGAAGGAGAAUAACUAUUCCACAUUGGUUCCAGAUAAUUAAUUACAUCCUUUUCAUGAGAAAGCAACAAUUAACAAUUACUUUUGUUCCCCAUAACACAUUGGGCCAGCUGUACUUCCCAACUAUCAUGAACAAUUUGUUUAAACAAAAAUUAGCAAUAAAGCACAUGGGACAUUAUUCAAAUACCAGUAUGUCCACUAUCAUUGUCAGUAAGUUCCAAACACUGUCAAUGGAUUGUAGUUCCUACACUAUAAGAACUACCUCAUCCAAUAUCCUACUAUCCCCAACUGGUUGUCAAUAACUGUAAGCCUACCUGACCAUUUGAAAUAAAAUAUUUGAUAGUUUUGGAACACAGGUAGCUGCUUAAAUAGUAUAUAGUCUUCAAUAUGAAAUGUCACAUUUUAGCAAUAUGACUAUGCAUGUAGCAUGUUAAGCAUAUUUCUCUUAUCAAUAACUAUUUCAAUUCUAAACAAAAACUACAACAUGAGUAUAUGUUUUUCUUUAUUGCCUAAAUUCACACACCUCAGAUGAGAUACCAUACUUCCCAAAAAUGCAUUAGUGCUCGUACAGAGAGAACCUAGCUAGUAUUUCUUAGUAUACCUCUAGCUAAGAAGAGGAACCAAAUUAGGCGACAAAGACUAAUGCACCUCGUGCAAGCUGGUGUAUAAUAAAAAAAAGUCCCAUGGCUACAGCAUAGGACAAUCUUUGUUAAAAUUCCAGUUCUAAAUAGGUUACAAUGACUUCGUAUGAUGUUCAAAAAAAGUAAUUGAUUCGUAUUGAGGCAAAACAAAACUUACAUAGAUAUGUUCCACUUCAUAUGCACUGGGAGGGAUACCUGCAUCUAGAGAAGCUUAUAAGCACUGAUAAAUAAAGAACAGUAGGGCAUUUAGGGCAUUUAUAGUAUGGUCUGAAAGGCUUUGAGUUGGAUCUGCACUAUUAUGUUUCUUGUGUACAUAAUAUGAACUGAAUCAGCCCAAGAAGAACUUUACCUUGGCAACCAAAGAGAAUCAUUACAUACAUGUCAAAGGUAUCCUAAGCUUGAUAUAAUGAACGAAAGCCCCAAAUCGCAUAAAUAUGCCCUGCAUCACAAAUGGGAACAAAUAAACCUAUCAACAAUAUCGUUUUGCCCUCCAAAGUUGUAUAUGCAAUUCCUAACUGAAACAAUUAAUCACAGCAUAGAGAAUUUUGAGUAGCAGCGUGUGUUGUUUCAAGCUAAACAGUUUGAUCACACAUGACAGUGUUGAAGUACAUGCAGAGGGAAAUUUCUCCACACAACCUACACACUAUAACUGAAUAAUGCCAUACACAUUAAAAGCAAAUCAAGACUGGCACUGUAACUAAAUCAAGGCUUACACAUUAGAAGCAAAUCACGGUUGUAAUCAUCAACAACUAAGGUCCAACCACUUCCUUCUCAUGGCCCUAUGACACUGAGCUAGAACGAAAAGGAAAAAAGAGAACAGGAACGACCAGGCAGCUAUUGUCGCGGAGCCGCAGCUGUCUUCAUCGCGGUCCUGGUCAAGCCGACACUCUCCCUUCCCUUCUCAUGGCACUGAGCGAGGCUCUCAUGGAGAGGGAGAGGAGAAGAUGGCAGUGGCGGCGGCCGGAGAGGGACAGGAGAAGAGGGCAGCGGCGGCACCCUAUUGACUCCAUCCGGGCGACCGAUUCAACUGGAGGGGAGGCCAAGAUUGAUGAAUCAGACGGUCCCCGAGCCAUAUUUGACACCGCAGAGAGGGAGCGGCGGUGGCAGCACGGUAGAGGAGAAGGGAGCUGCGGCGGCGACGGCGCUUGCGAGCGGAGGAGGUGGGCGUCUGGGCGCCGGAUCCGCCGGCGAGGAGACCGGGGUCACCGGAUCCGGCGGUCCCGGCCUCCUCACUAGGAGAUCCGGCGGGUCAUUGGGAGGGAGCGGCGGCGGCAGCACAGUAGAGGAGAGGGAGCUGCGGCGACGACGGCGCACGCGAGCGCAAGAGGCGGGCGAGGUUGCGGUGCGAGCUGAGGAGGUGGGCGACGGCGCACGCGAGCGCAGGAGGCGGGCGAGGUUGCAGAGCGAGCGGAGGAGGUUGCGGCGCGCGUGUAGGGAGAGGAGAGGACGGGCGGCUAGGGUUUGUACCGGUUGGCGAAAUCCAGGCCGUCCGUCCAUAAUCCGACGAUCGCACGGGUAAGGAAGGGCCAGCACAGCGGGACACGUGGACGGCCAGAUUGACCCUACGGUGAGAUCGGACGGUGGAAAGAAGCGAGGACCGGCGCAUAAUUAUCCGAAAGUGCAGGGGUUUUUUCGCCAAAAUUGAUGAUGUGGCACUCUACUCUUCCCGCGUUCCCACGGCUUUUAAGUAAACCUAUAUAUUAACUAUUUAGUAUUCGGUUAACCUUAUCUUGAGAGGUAGCUACAAAAUUAUGGUGCAAUACAUCUGUUCAAUACUAAUUUAGUACUUCAUCCGUUUCACUUUAUAAAACAUCUAUUUCCUUGUCUAAAUGCAACAUCUAUAUGAAAUUAUGUGUCCAAAUUCAUAUCGAACCAUACAUGAAUCUUUUUAAAAUCCAAAAAUUCUUAUAAUAUAAAUAAUUAAUUAUCACACUCCGAUUAACGACAACUUGCUUUCAUUAGGCCCCCUCCAAUAUGAGCCAAUCAUGUAUUUUCACCACGCUUUAGGACUUUGGCAUAGCAUAUGUGCUGGCCACAUGGAAGUGAUGCAACAGUUAACAACGCUUUGCUAAGAUUAGAAUAAGGCAACAUUGAAGUGAUUAAUGGGGUUGUUCUCAGUACUAACUCUGUUUUCUUAGGUUUCGUUCAUGGACGGUAGAUAUGUUCAAAGUUCGUUUCUAAUUUUCUAUGUUGCUUAAUACUUGUUUCUAAAUCAGCUCCAAACUCUUAGUAUAUAGCAUAGAAUAAUGUGAAAUACCAUGAUGUAUACAAGUAAUUCAAGAAGCUAUUUCUGUGAUAUGAAUGCAGUCCGGCCAUCGAAAAAAGCAAGAAGUUCCAAAUGUAUGGAUAAUAUGCACACCUUUAUUGUAUUUCAAUCUAUUUAAAUAUGCCAACCACUUACACUUAAUUUAUUUGGAUAAUUAUUUUUUUCACAUGUAAAAUUAUGAAAAAAUUGAUGUGAGUUGGCAUGGAACUGAAUCUCAAUUUAAUUUAGACAUAUAUACAAAUUAGGCAAAUUUUGCUAUAGGACAUCACGACUUCGUGGUUUUAGCCGUAGGACACCGCACAAACUCACUUUUAGGGGAAAAAACACUCUUUAAACGUGCUUAUUUGCCACUGGACACCACGUCCAUUAAAAUAUUAAUUUUCGGUUGAAUAGAAGAGAUAAAUAGUAUGAAAGGUCAAAAAUACCCCUGACCCCACUUGUCAUAUUCUUCCUCUUCCUCCUGGUUGUGCAGCUUCUCCCCGGACUGUUGCCGGUCCAAGUGCGUCGGCUGGAACACGCUCAUGGAUUCCCUGCCUGCUAUGUCCUGCUCGUAGUAUAGGUCCUUGAUCCUCUCGGAGUAGGCGCCAUGUAGCGACACGACGAGCACCGGCUUGCGCCUCCCCGGCCGCGCCGCCCGGCUGCUCUCCGGCAGUGGUAAAGUUGAGCUCCUGCUGCACACGGGGCAGGAUGUUCUCUCCAUGCGCGCACAACAUGAUCUGGCCGUAGAGCUCGUCGGUGGAGAUGCGCGCCAAGUAGAAGGAGCACACCUGGAUGCCGACACGCUACUCAGUGUAGGCCAUGUACGAGGCAUGGUACCACGUUCCUCGGGUGGAGCAGGUAGCGGCCGAGGAGGUGGAACGCAGCAUCGUGGCACGGGAACAUCCGCGGCAGCACGCGCUCGAUGCGCGAGACCAGGAACAGUCCGAGCACGAAGUAGUUGUCGGAGAGGAGCACCAUCCAGUCGACGCGCCACAAUGCGUCCAGCCCGUCGUCGCAGAAGAAGCGCGGCUCAUUGCCGUUGCGGUUGAAGUACGUCGUGCUGCAGGUGCAUGUACAUCCAUGGCGGUAGUGGGUCUCGGGCAGCGCGUUGCCGCGCCGCAGCGCGUUGCCGAGGCUCUCGCGGGUGCACGCGUUGAAGCCCCGGAUGCCGGAAAACGGGAAGUCCCCCUCCGGUAGUGUCCACGUUGAGCCCGGGAAUUGCUCGCAGAUGAGAUAAGGAAGAAGAGAGGAUGGGGAAGAGAAAGGAGGGGUAAUUUGGUUACUCUGCAUAAAAAUAUGGGCCCGUGUCGCCUUGUCAGCACGAAUACGUUAUUUUAAUAGGGGCAGUAUCCGCUGGCAAAUAACCACAUUUAGAGAGUGUUUUCUCCUAAAAGUGAGUUCGUGCGGUGUCCUACAACUAAAAUCACGAAAUCGCGAUGUCCUGUAACAAAAUUUGCCUACAAAUUAACGCCGAUGGCACAACAGAAAAAAGUAAAUCACUAUUUUUAUUUUAUACUCCCCCGUCUAAAAAAACAGACCUAGAACUGUAUGUGAUACAUUCUAAUACAACAAAUCUGGAUAGAGUUAUGUCCCAGAUUUGUAAUAAUAGGAUGUGUCAUAUCCAGUGCUAGAUUGGAUUUUUAUGGAACGGAUGGAGUAACUAUGAUAUAUGUUUGUGCUCGUGAUUUUGCUUUUAUAAUUGUAGUCGAUCAUCUACGGAACUAUUUAUGUGUGUAUAUGUAGCCAUUCUAUAUCUAUAUAUUAGACACUACCACUCCCCUCUCUCUCUACGUUAUCUCUUUUCUCAGCCUUCCCGGCUUACCACCUUUUCCCCACCUUCUUCCCUGCUUCCCCUCCUCUCCACCGUCAACAGCGGGCGUCGGUGGCGGCCCCGUGGGUGCGCCUCCACGCCACCCGCAGCACCCAGGAUGAGGAGGUCAAGGUCGACGCCACCAUGUUCGACGGCGCCGCCGUCCCGCCCCCAGACGCGCCCCUCUUCCGCCGCGUCGAGUCGCUCGACCACGUCCCGCGCCUCCACCUCGGCCUCAUCAUCGAGGCCUCUACCGCGACAUGUUGCACCAGCACCAGAAAUCAUGUUGUACGGAAGCUUUUGUGAUUUUGCUCUCUGGUUUAUGUGGUUUGUGAAGUUCCACUUCUGUAAAUGAUUCGCAGCAAGCUGGAGGCUAGGGAGAGGGAGUACGUGAGGAAAUUCUUGCAGGAGAGGGCGGCGGCGGCAGCGGCGGCCGGGCGAGGCGGCGCUCCCACGGGAGAUUCACGACGAGAUCGGCCUAGAGUUCCUCGGCAACGUCACCGGCAAGCCAUACACGCUCCACGCCAACAUCUUCGCCAACGGCGUCGGCAGCCGCGAGCAGCAGUCGUCGCAUCUCCUCCUGGUCGUGGUCCUCAUCGUGCACAUCGUCGCUCGGCUCCCUUGACGACGAUGCCGUCGUUGCGUGCGUCGUCAAGGCGGCGGCGAGCGGGCGAGCGGGCGGCGGCCAUUUUCACUUUUUUUUUGUUUUUUUUCCGUGCGAGCGGUAUAAUAUGACCGCAUCGGGAUAAUCGAUUAUCCCGUGCGGUCCAUUAUCCCAUACGGUUGGGCCGUCCGUACGCGAAAAUAUUGAUUUUUUCAGACAUUUGGGUAUAGACGGGCAAAUCCUCCGCACAGAAAAAUCAUUUUGACCGCAAGGAAAAAUGGUUUUCGCAGUAACGAGAGACCGAAGAAGAUUGUACAAUUAUUAAUUGGGUAAUUUGUAACCAUGCCAUUAUAAUUUUUUAAAGUUUAAGAUAUGCCAUCGGUAUCUCAAUGACACGUAGGACCCACAUGAAUCAAUGACAUGUGGGUCAGGAUGGCAUAUCUCAAAUUUUACAAAAUUAUAAUGGCAUGGUUACAAUUUUCCCUUAUUAAUUUAUGUUCGCAUCGCGUGCGGUUUGAUAAGUGAUUUAACUAGGUUCCUUGUUUUGUCUAAAGCACCACCACCAGAAUCAUCAGUAUAUUUUACUGUGGAUUUUGGAGUACAAUUAAAAAUUCUAUUACACUGACUUAAAAUUUGAAUGACUUUUACCUUUUUAAACUCUAUGGAUGAACCCUAAAAAAAUAAUUGCCGAACAAAAUAUUAUUUCAAACUGGGAGAUGAUGUGGCAGUUUUUUUUAAUUUUAUACAGUGGAUUUUUGGAGUACAAUUAUUUUACCAUUGGCAAGAUGAGCAUAUAUUAUUUUUUUAAAACUUUAAUUUGUUGGAUGGAUAGUAUGAGUACAUUUUAUACAAUCUAUAUGUUCUUUUAUACAGGCUCUGUGUACAGCUCAGAUGAUGCACUUUUCCUGUGUGAAACUCUGAAGUAUGAUUCAUGUCAGGCACGUUUUUUUAGGAUAAUGUCACGUGCCUCUUUUAUUUUUUGCCACGUGUUUGAAAAUUAUUUUAUUUUAGGAUUUUUAUUCAUAUUAAAAUGGAUUGUCCAUUUUAUUUUUUUUAUAUGUAUGACUAUAGUGUACUUUGAGAUAUGUAUGAAUAUGUGUAGCCAUUCUAUGAAGCUUUUUAUUCGGUCAUUCUAUAUCUAUAUAAUGAUUAAUUUAUGAUGAUUAAUUUAUGUGUGCAUGCGUACAGUUUGAUAAGUGAUUUUGGUAUUCGGGCCUUGGCCGUAUUUAGUUCCUCCAAAAUUUUUUUGACACCACAGACACACAUUUAAAGUAUUAAACAUAGACUAAUAAAACAAAUUACAGAUUCCACCUAUAAACUGCGAGACGAAUUUAUUAAGCCUAAUUAAUCUAUCAUUAGCAAAUAUUUACUGUAGCACCACAUUGUCAAAUUAUAGCGUAAUUAGGCUCAAAAGAUUCGUCUCGCAAUUUACAUGCAAACAAUGCAAUUGAUUUUUUUUUCAUCCACAUUUAAUGCUUCAUGCAUGUGUCCAAACAUUUGAUGUGACGGAAUUUUUGGAAGUUUGAAGGGAACUAAACACAACCCUUAUUUAGAUCCCAAAAAAUUUUGGCCAAAAACGUCACAUCAAAUGUUUGGACAAAUGCAUGGGGCAUUAAAUGUGGAAAAAAAAUCAAUUGCAUAGUUUGCAUGUAAAUUGCGAGACGAAUCUUUUGAGCCUAAUUAUGCCAUGAUUUGACAAUGUGAUGCUACAGUAAAUAUUUGCUAAUGACGAAUUAAUUAGACUUAAUAAAUUCAUCUCGCAGUUAUAGGCGGAAUCUGUAAUUUGUUUUGUUAUUAGUCUACGUUUAAUAAUUUAAAUGUGUGUCCGUAUACUUCAAAAACUUUGCACCCAAACAACUAAACACACCCUCAGGCAAUAUAACUUGGUUCUUUUUUUCUCUAAUGCAGCACCACCAUAGUCAACUGUAGAGUUAUCCCUUGGUAUGUGAAGUGAUGAUCAGAGCCAAUGUACCUCUCAAACCGACUCACAAAUGGAUAUCAUCAUUGUUGAAAGAAGGGUUUCAUCGGGGUUUUAACCGAUGAGGUAUGUAGAUGUUGCAUCGGCUUACAAAGAUUGCAUAUAAGUUGGAUUUAGCCAUUCGCAACAAAGGUUUCACUGUUUAUCUAAUCUUGUGGAUUUUAUGACAUGGGACCUCCAGCCAAUAUAUGCUUUAACCAUCGGAAUAUUUAUUUUAUCAUAUCAUUGUUAGCCGAUUAGUUUCUACUGGAUUAUAUUAUUGUUAUUUAUCAUCAUCGGCUGAUGGCCUUUAUGUCAUUUAUUUACUCAAGUAUCAGACUUUGCAUUGGACAUAUAGCCGAUUGCUCAAAACCCUAUCAACAUCUGCUGGUAUCGGCAUCAGUUGGAAUUACUCCGUCUGCUUGUCAGCCAAUCGGCUCAUUGAUCUACUAUUUGCAUAUCUUAUCAGUUGCAGGAUCAAACUGACUGACACUUCUGCAUCUCAUCAACCUUUUGACCUGCACUGGAGCUAAGUAGAUCUCCCAUGCCGUUGGGUUUGUUGACUUAAUUUUGCGCCAACACAGUUCUGGCACCAUCGGCCGAGCGCGGUUUUUUCGUCAACAGGGGGUAAAAUGAAAAAAAAAGGAGAUGCUAAGGUGCCUAUUUUUUCCUCUCAGGGUGGGAUGAGGAUUUGUGGAAGGAUUCCUUAGAAAAGAAGUUUCUUGAAGGGUAUUGAAAAUAUUUCGCAAACUGAGGAAAUAACGGCUAGAAGCAUCGGAACGAAGAAUUGAACGGCUAAAGUUCCCUUAAUGACGUGGUGUUGUAUUUUGCAAGGAAAGGUUUCACUUUUCACUUAUUUAGAUAUAACACACAUGCAUGUAUUUUCGUGCAACUAGUGACUUGCAACACAUGAUCCCUGCUAGAUGCCUGUUGGCAGUCAUUAAACCCUAAAAUCACCACCAAUAUUAUAAUAAAAAUAUCACAUAAAGCAUGUUACCUAGGUCGAUUUUGCCUUAUUUCAAUGAGUUACACGAUUUCUGUUGGAUUUCACUACGCGUAUAAUAAUUCACGAUUUUGACCUAUUUUUUUUCCAAUGAAAAUCUGGCAUUUUAAGCCAAAGGGCUGACCAGCCGACCAACAUACCUCAUGGGUCAACCGGCCUAAAGACUUGGCCGACUAGCCAACUCAGGGCUCGGCCAGCUAUUUGGAAACGUGUCCUGAUUGGCCACCCUCCUCACUGAGCCGGCUGGCCUGCGCAGCACGAUGUGAGGCUAAUGAUUGAUUGGUGGACCCCAUUCUGGGAGUGAUGUCUUCUCGGAUGAGUAACAUGUAGACUUACUUUUCCCUCUUAAUAUUUUAUUCAUACAUUAUGCUUAUUGCCAUACUUUUUUUCCUAGUUCUCUUCUAAGUUUAUUUUUUAUGCUUGCUUGAGUGGAUGCCUCAUUUAUAAUUAAGCUGGGAACAUGUAUAGUUCUAUGUGUGGGUGUGGUGCUUAGGAAUAGUUUUAUCUAGGAAGGCUGGUUGGGGAAACAGAGGACGUAGUUGGCCGGGUGCCGACAGCCUCGGUUGUCCUUUGAAGCCAGCCACGUUAACCCUAAUUACGCUGACGCAAAUAGGUAGACCAAUGCUUAAUGUGGAAAGCAGUCCUGUUUCCAAAGCAAGCAAGGAUAAGUGUAGCUAAAUGGAUUUCCUAGAAUGAAAGCAGUCUUGUGAUGUGGGGAAUAACCCGGGGACUUGAAUCCUGACUAAUUCGAUGAUUUCACAACCAUAUCAUCACAUUCACACAACAAAUACAUAUAUAUAGACAAUAAUGUUCACAUUUCUAAGUGUUAACAAAAGACACACAUCACAUUGGACUAACUGGUCAAAUAAAAGAGAGUCAAACAUAGCGCAAUAAGAGAACAAAAAAAUAUAUACAUUCUUUAGUAUGCCAUCUAACUAACUAGGAAUUACUACCCAUGUCGAAACGCGGAUGACCGCACCGAGAAGGCAAAUUCUUCUUUGCCAAUCGAAGAGCACAAACAAGAAUGAGAUAGAAUACAACCAAAAUUACAGAUGAAUGAUUAAGCUCACAAGUUGGGGUCUUACAAACCGAUCUAGCGGCGAAACUAUUCUCGACAGAAUAUUCUAAGCAAAACCCGACUCUAAACGAUGACGGCUACUUAAUUAAUAUGAUUAGGGACGUCCUAGGGUUGCCCUAGGGCGCACACCCUCAUGGGCUAAGCCCACGACACAAUUAUAAGGCCCAAAACCCAAAUCAGAUUUGGAUUGGAUGAGAUACAUAACUUGUUUUGUAGAUUCCCGACAGCUCGGUAGGAAUUUUGACGUAGGACCAAAACCAUCUAAAAGUAGACUCCAUAAGCUUUCCAACAAGUACUCAUAGGCCCCGAAAUUCCUUCUAGAUCAACAUCUAGGUUCGUUUGAAGUUGAUGCUGUCAGGAGGCCCGAAUCCGAAUCCAAAACGUGUAGAACUUGAUCUCUUGUCUUCUAUGGACCAAAAGUGACGUGGUGAGGUAGAAGUAGACUUGGAGAAGGUCUUGGUUUGGUCCCCAAUCAACUUCUUUGAUCAUCCAUGCAUUCGUUACGCUCGGUCUCUUUUCCUUCGCCCAAGCAAGUACCUCUACAAACAAAAACACAUCAUUGUGUAGCAACGUUUGUUCAAAUAUAUAACAAGUAAAUCUAAUGUAGAACAUAUGUACCUUUGUUUGAUUAAUAUAUAAGGUAUCCAUGGUUAUAUCCAAACUAGUAGUGUCCUCAUCACCUAGCUAGAAGUAUCAUGACGCUAAUGGUGGUGGAUAGAAAAUGGCAAAGGAAGGGAGAUAGUGCUGUUUCCAAAGGCAGAGAUGAAGUAAAAUAGGGUUCAAUGUAAAACAAAAGGGAGAGAGAGAGAGAGCUCAAAGUGAAAAGAAUGUGUAAAGGAGGGCAAAAGUGAAACUUUUGUAGUAAAGAGGUCCACAUUGCAAACCAUCUCUAUGUUUUAAGUUUUGAUGCAUGUAAAAAUAAUGUGACUGUGACAUCCCGGCCCAAUUUGGAUUAGGCCUGUGUGGCCCAUGUGAGUUGUGUGCGUAUGUUUAGUACGACCUUAUUAGUUUAGCAUGAGUGGAACUAACUUAUAAGGCCUCUUCCCUCCAACCAUACCCUUUUACACGAAGCGAGGACGAAAGUGUAAGUGGAGUGAUGUGUGUAAGUGGGCCCGCUACGUGGUUCUGGAGGGAGGGCUGUAACAAAUGGUAUCGGAGCCGACCCUUGCGAUUGCGCGUACGGGUCAGUGUGCGGGCAUAUGGCGCUGGCACUGGACGUACGGAUGUGCGCUUCGCGGUUGCGCGUACAGGUCAGUGUGCGGGCAUAUGGCGCAUGGCGCAUGUGGGCUCUGUGUGAGGCACAUGGCAUGGCAUAUGGCGCUAGCACUGGACGUACGGAUGUGCGCUGAGAGGGGGUGUGUUCCUGGACAGUUGCCUAUAUGCCUGUGUGGCUACAUGGGUAAGUUGGGCCGACAGGGAUGUCGGGUCCUUUGAGGGGGGGGGGGGUUGUGACAUCCCAGCCCAAUUUGGAUUAGGCCUGUGUGGCCCCACUCCCGGGUUAACCCUUUUAUACGAAGCGAUGACGGAAGUGUAAGUGGAGUGGUAUGUGUAAGUGGGCCCGCCCGUCGGAUGGGCUGGCUACACGGUUCUGUAGGGAGGGCUGUGACAGUGACGUGGUCAUCACUUCCAACUUAAAUGCUAAAAAUAUUGUUCUCAAUUUGUAACCUCCAUUGAGAGUAUUAUCAUGUUCUUAGUAAUUGCUUAUUGAUAUUUUUAUGGAAAAAGAGGUGUAGGCAAUCUUCUUCACAUUAUUCAUUACAGUAAGAUCGUUACACAUUUAGUUUACUUCUCGUUGAUCUGCCACUCAGCAUACUGUUGCGGCCCACGCCUCGGAGCAAAGACAGCCAUCUCAUCGCCGCGGUUGAACUUUACAUGCCUAGAGUCCUCCCUUGAAAGCCUAUAAGCAUUGGCGACCACGUCAACGGGUAGAGCACGAAGAAUGGAGGCCUUCCCUGCGAUCUGACUGUCGACAGCAUUGUGAUUGGUCUUGAAGGAUACCCAUGC
rnacentral:lncRNA from 1 species